UUAUUAUUGACACAGGUUAUUCCGAGGCUGAAGAUUCUUAAUUUCAGUCAUUCGCAUGGCCUUAGGACAAUCCCCGACUUCUCAGGACUCUAUAACCUUGAGAGGUUGAUUCUUAAACAUUGCUUAAAUUUGGUUGAGGUUCAUGAGUCCAUCGGACACCUAGAAAAACUUCUUGUUUUGAAUCUAAAAGGCUGCAAAAAUCUCAUGAAGCUUCCAAUAUUGAGAUCUAUUCAGGAUCUUAUUCUUUCUGGUUGCUCAAAGCUUGAAAUGAAGAAACUCAAUCUGGUAUCAUCUAAAUCAUGGUAUUCAGUCUGGUCGUGGGUGUCGCCAAGAAAAAAUACUAAAUUAAGCAGUUUCUCAUUGGCAAGUUUACCACGUUCUCUGACAAGUUUAAGUCUGGAUUGCUGCAAUAUAUCAGAGAUUCCAAGUGCCCUAACUAUGCUGUCCUCGUUAGAGUACUUGAAUCUGGAUGGUAAUCCGAUUACAAGCCUACCAGAAAGCAUGAACUAUCUUGUUAAGCUCCGGACUCUUAAAGGAUCUGAAUGCAGAAACCUCACAACACUUCCAGAGCUCCCACGUUCUUUGACGAGUUUAACGCUGGUUCGCUGCAAUAUAUCAGAGAUUCCAAGUUCCCUAACUAUGCUGUCCGCGUUAAAGUACUUGAAUCUGCAUGGUAGUCCGAUUACAAGCCUACCAGAAAGCAUGAACAAUCUUGUUAAGCUCCAGACUCUUAGAGUAUCUGGUUGCAGAAACCUCACAAUGCUUCCAGAGCUCCCACGUUCUUUGACAAGUUUAAAUCUGGCUUGCUGCAAUAUAUCAGAGAUUCCAAGUGCCCUAACUAUGCUGUCCUCAUUAAAGUACUUGGAUCUUGAUGGUAAUCCGAUUACAAGCCUACCAGAAAGCAUGAACAAUCUUGUUAACCUCCAGACUCUUGAUGUAACUGGUUGCAGAAACCUCACAAUGCUUCCAGAGCUCCCACGUAGUUUGGAACAAUUGCAUGAUAGAGGUUGCGCAUCAUUGAAAAGAAUAACAAAUUAACCGAAGUUGGCCAUGUCACCGGACUUAGAUUACUGGUUUUCUUGCAUAGUAAUGGACCCAAGGCUAUGGUAUUGUGGGAAACUUGUUGAUUUUAGAAGCUUGUUGGAUACACUAGCAUUGGUCUCAUAUCUCUCAGAUCUAUUCGAUUUGGAACCCAAAGGUGGCAUUGAGGUCCAAGGGAACUAUUGUGAGAGUUUGGGCGUCAAGGUUCUCUCUCUCUCUCUCUCUCUCUCUCUUAUGUACAGGUGCUUAUAAUAUGGUGAAUAAGAUCUCUAUGGCGUAAACGAUUAGAUUGUAAUGACAACAUCACCAUGGAACUGCAGGGAACUUUUGACUGCUGCAUAUUGAGCAUAUUUGUUCAGGGGAGCAAGAUUCCAGAUCGGUUCAAUUACAGGAGCAUGGGUAACACUGUGUUCUCUAUUAUUGUUCCUUCACAUCUUAAUCUCAAGAUCGUAGGUUUAAACGCAUGUAUAUUAUAUGCACAGCAGUCGGAUCGGAGCCUUGAGGUUGCACGUGGCCAUGAUCACCGUUCGCUUGAACUUAGGAAUGAGACAAAGGGCCGUAAGUGGAACUUAAGAAUGCGGAAUGAGGUUGAAUGGAACUUAAGAAUGCCGUUGGAUCAUGGGGAACAAUGAGUUGGAAUGCGGGGAAAGAGUGUGUCUUGCAAUCAAAGAGGACAAUGGUUUCCUCACAAAGGAGAUUGGAGUCCAGUUUGUGUACAAGCGGCAAAAUAAGGAUAGGGAGGAUGUGCCAUCAAGUAGUGAAGAUACAACGAUCCAACGAGAAAGAUCUCCUUGGGAGUAGACCCAAAGUUUCCUUGAAACCACAAGACCCCGUGUUCCGGGGGGUGUAGAGACGGGGAUUCAAUGCAUCCAUAGCUGCGAUAAGAAAGUAAUUUCAACUGUCAUGUGUGCGGCUGAAUACUAUUUCUGUAACAGUGACAGGAUCGAGAGGCUCUACCGCAGUGGGUCGUAGGCUUUCGGACUUUUAGCCAAAAUAACCCAGUUUAAUUGAUGUUGGUGAUGCCCAAAUCACUAGAUUCAGAUGUGUAUUGGUUGUUAAGCUUUCGUUUCUAUCUAUUUUCUGUUUCCUCCUAAAAAAUUGUUUUCAAGAAUUUAAUAAAAUUCCAUACCAAACAAGUUCUUGCCUAGAUAAGAGUAUGAACUAGCAAAAAUGCCCGUGCUGCGCUGCGUGGUUGUGUGACACGCAUUUGGUAAGCUUCGGGGGAGAUAAGAGUAAUGGUAGAACUUAAUGAAACUUGGUUGAUUAGAUUUUUUUUUUUUUUUUUUUUUUGUUCAUAGUAACGGGCAUUGUGCAGGUAAGUCAUUUUCUUCAGAGAAUUGGGGAACAGGUUCAUGGUCUUCUUUACACAAAUCUAUGUUUAGUUUACCACAUAGAUUAGUGGCAACGAUCACACGACCAUCGCCAACUACCGCUACUUCGAAAUCAAAAAACCGCAAACUAAGGUUAAGUGUUGGUAAAGAUGAAAGGUUAUAUGUAUUAUGUGACUAAUGACUGAUGUUGCCGAGACACGAAAAACAUGAAGCUUCCUGGAACUAUUUGGUUUAGUGAAAAGUAAAUUUCGAACAUUGUUUCGUGGUGUUACGCAUGCCAACCACAUACUCUGCGGGUGCUCACAAGGAUUCGACAUCUUCUUCCUGAUGCUCCAGAACAAUGGUGGCAAGAGCAAGUCUAUAAGCUGAAGAUCUCAAAUUCCUGACUAGAACAUAUAUUUCCUUUCGUCUUCGCUUAGCUGGCACCAAAUCCCAUUGUUCCUCUCUGAGACGAGCGAGUACAACUGCCUCGCAAAAAGCUUCUGCUACUGGCUUCUUGCUGCAUAUAAAAUAAAAUGCAAUUUAGCACAUGGAAAAUGAUGAACGCAUAGCAAAAUAGAAAGAAAAGAUGGUCGUUGUAAAGUGGCAAGAGGCUGUGAACUAACAUCCCUCUAACAAAACCAGUGGUGACGAAGCCCAUUGGCGAACGAUAAGUUUCUCUAAGAACAGGGUCCUCUGGCAUUUGGAGUUCCCACUUACCAGAAGAUUGCUCUGUGAAGUACGAAGCCACAGCAGAUUGAGGCAUUUGAAGUCCUCCAUCGAAACUCUCUGACCUGCAAGACACACACAUGAAGCUUAUUUUUCAAAAUUAUUGGUCUGCAGCAUGAAUGGUGCUCUGAAAUACGUAUAAAGUCUUUCAAAAAUAGCUGCAAAACUUCAAGUCACUCCCACGAUUAAAAUUUUCAACGGUUACAUUAAAUCUCAGAAAAUUUUCAUCAAUGCAAGUUCUGAAUAAGAGACGUAAUGUAAAUAGGUCACAUUAUCUCCUCUACUAGUAUAUAAAAGACGAGAAAAUUUCAAGCACCACCGUUGUAAUACAAUCAUAAGCUUAUAGGAUAGCAUAUAAAUCAUAAGCUUAUAGGAUAUCAAAGAAAAAAUGACUACCUAGUCCACAGUGAUAUGUCCGUCAGUCGAGGAGCUCCCUCUUCAAGAAAACCUUCCUUGUAAGCAUGGAGUAAUACUCCAACAAAACAUAGUUUAUGAUUGUACUUAAAUCUAGUAAACUGAUCUUGGCCCGGACCAAGCUUGAUUUCGACCCUCAUAAACUUCGUGAAACUUCUCUCCUUAUCAGCGACAUAUGGAAACAGACGUAAAUGACAGCCUUGAAUUUCACUCAAGAAAUUUGUCAGCAAAAAACUCGUCUGUGCGAUAAAACCAUCAAAUGAAUUUCCAUGACAGCCGGCUAAUGUAGUAUCAGAAUUUCCAGAGUCUGAAUUAGUGAUGAAUAGCUUCUGAUGCCAUGUUGCUGCCUAAAACUUUCAGCAUCUCCAACUGCAUUUGAUUCUUCGUUUAAAGCAACUUGGAUACUAUUCCAUGGGGAUAAAAUGGGAACCCUCAAAGGUCUUAUGGCUGGAGGAUGAAGUUCCUCUUUAAGAUUAGAGGCAGCAGCUUCGGUCUCCUUGAGGCAUAAAUAUGCAUCGCAAUCAGGAAAAUCUGAAGGAAUAUAUGGCAACCCCAUCUAGAAAAUAAAAGGGACUUAGAUGCAACAUUCGAUAACCUGAUAUUAAAUAUUAUAAUUUACACGUAAUAAGUUUCAAUGCUUACUUCACACGAAAUCCAGCGCUUCUCUCUCAACCCCAUUGCAUGAGCCCCCUUAGAGACAAGAGAAAUCCAAAAUGCCUUGACCCAGCUUAAGGGGAGUAUAACAGACCAUCUGUAAGGCAAUAAGAGAUAGACUUCUAAGGUAACUUUAAAAAUAUAUCAUACUCAAUUGAACAGAUGAUAAAGUUUGAUGCAUUGAUGGAAUUUUAAGGCGAGUCAGAAAAAAACAGAUUGUCACAUUCUACUUUCAUGAAAUCCAGAACUUCGAAGAUCACGUUAUCAAUUAUUGCACAAAGAGUCAGCAGGAACAUUUAUGCCAUGACUUUCAUGUUUCCGAUAAAAAGACAUAGAACUCCAUAAUAUAUAUCUUAUGAGAAACAAAAUAUAUUAACAGUUUAUAAACAGUACGAACAUACAACUCAGGAGAAAUGGUGCCCACUGAACCCACAUAUAAGCAUUAAUACAAGUACAUAAAAUAUGCAGCAAUUAGCUUAAUCCACAUAACACUAAAUGGAAGAAUAAACCAGGAAAAAAAGGAGUUUACCCAACAUGCAAGCCUCUUCCGUUACUAUCUUCAAAAGCAUAAUCGGGCAAGAUCAUGAGCCCUGUGACGUGGAGGAAGUAUUUAGUUCCCCUGAACUUCAAUCAUCGAGGCUGAACAAAUUCCUAUUCUGGUCAUGUUUUUCCUUGCAAAGAACAGCCUCUUCCACUGGAGGGCUUACUCCACUGCUAACAUCCUACAAAUUGUUUGCUCUGAUCUUGCCAUUACCUGCAGGUUCAUCUGAAAAUCGUCCAAAGAUAACAUGCUUUUUGUCUUCAGCUCCUAGUACAUCACCUAGUAUACUAGCUGAACCUAAAUCUUGAGCAUCUGCAGUGUUUCCCUUCUCUGUUAAUGUGCAAGGAUCCUUGACAUUAAGGGACAAAAUUGCAUGAGAAGGAAUUUCCUCCUCAUUUUUAAGAUGAAUUGUAGAUUGGGAAUCCUCAUCCGCCUUGGCAGCUGAAUGUCUCAUCAACUUCCAAGAAUUAUCUCUAGUCCUAUUCAGCCAGACAACAAAAUUAGCCAUCUUUAACCUCAUUACUUGGUUAUGUCACUGAAAUCCUCUCCGUAACUCACCUGGUAGAAGGGAUUAAUGUCCUUUGAAGGAGUUGAAAUGCUUUUGAUCCCACUAAUUCUAAUUUUGCAAGUUGACCCUCAAGUGAGAAACAAUUAAUCACGAUGUCCCUGCCCUCCAUCUAAGAUAAUAAAGCAUUAUAUGAAUAACAGUAAAUAAUCUACCGAGAACAUGUAGUAUCAUCUAACAGUAUGAGUUCUCUAUUCUGACAUCUACCAAGUCUAGACUAGAGGCAAACUUUGACACCUAAGCACAGCACAAAAACCACUUGAGAUAGCAUUUGAAAAAAAAUGUUGGCUUAUCAGAGAAUCAAGUACAAAGCAUAGAAGUAGACGAGUUUCAGUAUUGCCCUAAAUCAUCAUUCACUCAAAGAAUUCAAUACCAAACCAGGGCUGUUGCAUUCUAUCUUAAGAUCCAUAAAUCAUUAUUUCCUUCCUUCUGACGUGAAGUCAGAUGAGAUUAAGCCUCUAUACACUUGCUAUUGAUGUAUGUGUGAACAAAAAGAAGGAAUGGGUACCUCUUUUUGGCAAGCUAAUUUCAAAGUGUCAUAAGCUUCAGUGAGAGCAGAAGCAUGUAUCCACACCCAAAGCUGGCGAUCAGUAGAAGAGUGGUUUGUACUCUCUAGUCCUUUAAAUUCAUCGCCUUCACAGUCAGCUGCAUUAUUAUCUCUAUUUGGUUGGCCAGAAGGCCGCCACAUACAGUUCACAGGAGCAAUUGGUUUUGAAAGAGGUGCUCCCAAAUGAUGAAGCUGCAAAAAAUGGGUCAUCAAGUCAAUACCUCAAGUCAUCCACAUUCACAAAGAAAAGUGCAAUAGGAUAACUUACCAUAGCAUUAUCAUAUAUGACGCCAGAAAUAACAGAACGGGAAACAUUUUCAGAACGAGUUGACUGAGGAGACACCAUUACCAUGCCUAACACUGAUAGUAACGAAUCCUGGAUGCAUAUGAAGUAGGGUGUAACAUCAUAAUUUAGUAGCAGAAAAUAACAUAUUGCAACACUUUUCCUUUUGAAGAAAAAUAAAUUAAAAGGUAUACAAUUUCAUAGGAAUAAAUUCAUAAGAUAGAAAGUAAAUGCCUGCCUCCGGCCCCUCCAAUUGGAUAGCUACAUGAUAGCUUGCAUCAUGAACAAGCACUCCAUCCCUGAACCACUUCAAGACAGCUCUGGACCCCCUUCCUCUACAUUUUAUUGUUUUUUUUUUUUUUGAUAAAAUAGAUAUACAAGCGAAUUAGUUAUUUAUUGAGAAAUAGAAGAAAUAAUAAGCGAAAAGUAAAGAAUAACACUGCUAAAUUAAUAUGCGUUUUACCUGCCCUGCAAACCCAAGGGAAGGUAGUAACCCCAAAGCUCUGUCAUUGCGAACCGCUUCGCAUGCCAAACAUGUGUUCUAAGCCUCUUUGUACCAUCCCCUGAUGUGCAGAAACCCUUUUCAAGGUUCAUUUUAAGCUCAGCUCUCCUACGAAUGCGAUGAGGAACAUUCUUGUCAUCUUUCUCUGGAGGCAAUGUCAAAGCAUUACUCUGAUCAAGUUUUCUCUAUUUUCUAAAUCUUUUUUUGGCGGCUUGAUUGUCGUAAGCAGUGGUUCUUCUUCUCUUGCUUCUCCGAGACCGGAAAUCAUUGUUCAAUCUGUUAGAUACAAUUGAAUGGAGUGUCUCAAGCUCUGAACCCCGUGAUUCUGCAAACUUUUGGACAUUGAUUUUUCGAGGCGGAGCUGAUGAAACCUGUUGCCGUCUGAAACCAUCGGUAGCCAUUAGACAAAAUUAAACCCCUCAGAUGAAGAACGAUAUUAUACCAGUCUGCCACACAAUUAUAAUCGCCUCUUCACUCUUCGGACAUCAUUGGUCUCUAUUCGCAGUACUACUCUAUUACUCUGAAAUGUCCAAAAACAAAUUGUAAGAUUCUUCAAAGCGUAGCAAUCGCAACUGGUUCCAAUUCCAAUUACUUUUUAUGGCGCAUUUACGUAACGUAAUCAAAAUAGAGGAAUUGAAUUGAGGAGGACUCAGAAUCGGAUUCUAUUGAAGCUGUUGGAAUCGGAUUCUAUUCGCAGUACUAGUACUGUGAAAUGUCCAAAAACAAUUUUUGAGAUUCUUCAAAGCUUAGCAAUCGCAACUGUGGUUCCAAUUCCAAAUAAAUAUAAAGUUCGAAACAAUAGAAAACAUCAGAUACGAAAUUCACAGUCUAACUAACAUGAUAACAUCAAUGAUACAACAACUUCAACUUAACUUUCGAAAACCAAUAUGUAAUGACACAAAGCUAAAUGAGCAACUACUGCGGUAUCCAAUAAAUAUAUAAAGAUUGAAACAAAGAAAACAUUAAGAUAAGAAAUUCUGAAUGCAAUGUGACCAACAAAAUCAAUUACUUGGCACUGGCACUGCCACUGUAGGAAUUUAACAAAAGAAACUCCUCACAUCAACCACCAGUUGCAUUGCGUGUAUCAAAACUCACCAGAUAUGCUCACAAAUUCAUACUAACAAUUAUUUUAAAAACAAAAUCAAAAUAAGAACAAGGAUGCAGUGCAGUGCAGAUUCACUCGAAAACUAAGUGAGAUUGCGGGAUUAUCGGAACUGAAUGGCUUGGAUUUGCGUUUCAGCUUCUGGUUAUCUAGUGGUAGACGUCACAAAAUUAGUAAAAUUAACUAAUUUGAAUGAAAAUAAAGAAUAAAACUUUACCAUGGGAAUCUGCAAGCAGAGAUAGAGAGAGAGUACCUGAGGACUGAGAGAAGAAGAAUAUGUGAGAGGGAGAGGAGAGAGAUUUUGCAGCUGAAGAGUGGAGAAAGAAAGGAGGGAAAAGGGGUACCGAGCAAGUGGCAGCCUACUUGAUACCUGGAGCAAUUUAAUUGAUUACCGUUGGAUCAAUCUCAACGGCUGAAACUAAACACUUUCUGUAUCCAAGAAAAACAAGGCAUCGGACUGAAAACUCCAUUCAGGACUCGGAUUGAUUCAUCAGCGCGCUCACUCUCACUCUGUUGUUUUAAGUGAUGGAUCAUAUAAACUAAGGAAGCCAGAUCGUCGUUGUUUUCAGAGAAACACAUCUUCUCGGCCCUCUCAACUCCGAAACACACACGAGGGAGGCCAAAUGGGCCUCAGCCUUCUUCCUCGCAAUCUCACAACAAACCCAUACCUCUACCAAACGGCCCUCGCAACCUCUACCACUUUCGCUGAUUCAAUCCACGUCUUCGUCGAGGUAAAGACUUCAUCUUUUUCAAUGUUAGAGUUAAUGGGUUUUACCCCUUUACCUGAUCAAGUAUGUAAUCGCCAUUGUAAACUUGCAUGCUAGUUCUUCUCUGAUCAAGGCCAGGAAGUCGACCGAUGCUAAAUUGGAUUAUUCUCACAUCACGGUAAAACAAUUUUUGAAAUUACUGCCUGAAGUUUACUGCAUUUUCGUCACUAAUCUAAACCCAGAUAUGAGAUAUCGAAUAAGUAGCAAAUUGAUUUUGGGAUUUUAGGUUGAGCUUCGGACAGUUGAUGGGUUCUUGAAGGAUAGCACUCAAGAGUUACUACUUCAUUCCCGUUUAUGACAAGGUAUUAUUUCUUAUUCUUUUUCGGUGUCAGAUUUCGCUGGAUCUUUGCAUUUCACGUGCUCUCAUGCUUCAGUGAUGAUGUUGUGUUGUCUGUUAAAUUAUCGGAGGAGAUGGCGAAGAGCUAGACCGGUAAACGGUCGGAUUUAUUGGAUUUGAGUCGGGUUGAAUCCGAUCUGUUAAUUUAAUGGGUCAUUUAAACCCAACCCGUUAAAUUGACUGAUCAUCCGAACCCAACUUGUUAACAUUUUAUCCAAAUCAAUUACAAUCCCGUUUUAUAUAGUAGAAUUCGACUUUCUAUCAAUUAUAUGCAUCUCCUAAUCUUAACAUGGAUGAGAAAAUUGUAUAAGUAAAACACAACUUCGGCAGACCCGACAAUGAUGAGCCCUGCGAGGCUUGUAUUUAGAACACUUUUCACAGCCCCCAUGUCAGAGAUCAAGAAUCAAAAGUUUCAAAAUUAGCUACAGAGAGAAGAAAUCAGCAUUUUUAAUGUGCGGCUAGACGCACUGCCAUAAAGUACUUGAUGACGUGAACUCUUCAAAAAUUCAAUGAAAGUGGGUUGCAGGGGGAAGAGAGAGAGAGCUUUGCUUUUAAUAGUGCAGUACUGCAGUAUUCCGUCGAGUUGAAGAAGACGUCGGAGAGAGUGGUAAUUUCUGAGGAAGAAGGUGAGGGGGAAGUUCUCAGAGAUGACGUGCACACUACUGCAAUAGUGCAAUGCGAGAGAGUGAGGGUUUCAUUAUUACUAUUGAAAUUACACAAAAGCCCUCAAUAACGAGUGUUAACGGGUGGUUAAUGGGUUUCGCAGGUUCAUCCAAAAUAACCCGUUAUUUAACGGGUGCUUAAUGGGUUGACCCCGUUAACUACCCGACCCGAUAAACACUCAUCCACAUACUCAUUUUAACGGGUCAGAUCGGGUUGGGUUAACGGGUCGGAUUUAAAAUGCCAGUGCUACGAAGAGCCAUACACUUGGUAUUGCUUACUCGACUGAAACUCUCUGGUUGGGACUGUUAAUUGUACAGUUGAACUACACCACUCUCACAUCAUGAAUGACAGGUUUUGUUUUUGUUAUAGAUCAAGUCCUGAUUUGCCUGUAUUAUUGUUGAUCUUGGUAAGUUUACUUAUUUAGCUUUAGUUGGGUUCCUAAUUAUGCAUGCUUGUACUUUUUGUUCCAUACUUUGAAAUUGGCUUCAACCGCAAGAUCAUUCAAUUUGGUCACUUUUUUUUUAUAAUUUGGAACUAGUCCCCUAGACCAACCAACCUUCUUUAUAAUUUGACUCCUUCACGUAAAGCCACAUGCCCCCAAAAAUACCCUAAACCCGAAAGUCAAAUUAACUUUUGACCAAAAAAACCAAAUAUUGUCAAAUUAACGGUUUGAUUAAUGGAGGUAUGAAAUUGCUAAAAAAUACAAGUUUGUGUAUGAGAUUAAAAUGCUCUAAAGAUGUUGUAUGAGGUUACAAUUACACUCACACUUAGGAUGUAAAAUGUUAUUUACUUAAUUUUAAUUGUAAAUUUUGAAGUUUUCAAGGGCAAUUUAUGGUAUUUACAUUUAGAAUGCUUCACAAUAUAAAGUCUCCCACUUUAUAGAUAUAGACAAUUUAAUUGUAAAUUUUGAAGUUUUCAUGGAUAAUUUAUGGUAUUUUGAAUGUUUCAUCCUAUAUAAAAUUUAUGGUAUUUUGAAUGUUUCAUCCUAUAUAUAUAUAUAUAUAUAUAUAUAAAGGUUUAUGUACACCUCGUGUAACUUUUUUUUGUCCUAGUUUCAUCAAAGAACUGCUAGUGGGGGAUUCUCCACAAAAAUUGAUAGUCAAAGUCCUCUCAAAUUCUAUAUUAUCCUCAACAUCCCAUUCACUUACGAGGAAACUUCGUCGUCAAUAAGUGUGGAGUGCCUGGUGGCUAAUGGGAACCUUCCUCUUCAUAUAUCAUAUUAUGUCUUGUCCCUCUCAGAAACUGCAUAUAAUUGUCCUUGGCCUUGCAUAUGCUUGCCCUGCUUUCAUUCAUUGCGAGAACCAAGAAGCAGAGGGUUUCUCUAGAUGGAUGCUUUCCGAGAUUCCUCUUCCUCCUCUUACCGGUGUUCCUAUCAUGCCUUCUUGAGUUUCAGAGGCCAGGACACGCGCAGGGGCUUUACUGAUCACCUCUAUAGAGCCUUGGAGCUAGCAGGAAUCCACACGUUUAGAGACGAUGAUGAAAUCAAGAGAGGGGAGAAUAUUGAGUCGGAGUUAGACAAGGCGAUACAGGAGUCACAAGUAUCGAUAAUUGUCUUCUCCAAGGACUACGCUUCCUCAAGGUGGUGUUUGAACGAACUUCUGAAGAUCGUGGAACGUAGAAAUACUGAUCAUAGACAUGUGGUUCUGCCAGUUUUCUAUGAUGUGGAUCCAUCCGAUGUCAGGAAGCAGAGUGGUACUUUUGCUAAAGCAUUUGCCAGACAUGAGGAGCGAUUCAGUACCGAGAUGGACAAGGUGGAGCAGUGGAGAAGAGCUCUUGGAGAUGUUGCAUCUUUGGGAGGCAUGGUUUUAGGAGAUCGGUAAUUUCUAUUCUCAUUAUCUUCUCACGCUAAUUGAAAGUGUCUUUUAAAUUAAGUAAAAUUGUAGAUGGUGGUGAAGCUUGAAAUUGUUCGAUUUUGGUUUAUGUGUUCAGUGUUCCUAUCUAUACUGCAAUUUGUACGAGGAGCAAUCAUUUCCGUACAUGACAUAUUAUGUAAAAGAAAAUAACUUAUUUCUACUUCGUAUAUUUUGUUUCAAAUGAAUUACAGGUAUGAGGGGCAGUUCAUCCAAGAUGUUGUUGAAGAGAUUAGUAAUAAACUGGAUCCCGCAGCUUUAGACGUUGCUCCCUUUGCAGUUGGAAUAGAUAAUCGUGUGCAAGACCUAAAUAUGUGGUUACAAGAUGGAUCAAAUGAUGUUGGUGUAGCUGUCAUCUGUGGUAUGGGUGGAAUUGGCAAGAGCACCAUUGUGAAAGCUGCUUAUAACCAAAACUUUGAUAGAUUUCAAGGUAGCAGCUUUCUUGCAGAUAUACGAGAAUCUUCAGAACAACCUAAUGGUUUUGCUCGCUUGCAAAGAAAACUUCUUUUAGAUAUCCAAAAGGGGAACGCAAAGAAAGUAUACAAUGUGGCUGAAGGAAUAAGCAGGAUCAAACGAGCCGUAGGCUAUAAAAGAGUUCUUAUUGUUCUCGAUGAUGUGAACAGCCGGGAUCAACUCAAUGCAAUUCUUGGAAUGCGAGAAUGGCUUCAUCCAGGAAGUAAAAUUAUCAUAACAACUCGACAUGAACAUUUGUUAAAUGCUCAUGAAGUUUGUGAAAAGUUUAUGGUUCGAGAACUGGAUGAAGAUGAAUCACUUGAGCUUUUCAGUUGGCAUGCCUUCGGACAAUCCCAUCCGGUAGAAGGUUACAUGGAGCUUUCAAGACAUGUGGUGCAGCAUUGUGGAGGGCUUCCAUUAGCUAUUCAAGUUCUGGGAUCUUCUUUAUCUGGAAAAAGUGUAGAAGUAUGGCAAAGUGCAUUGCAGAAGUUAGACGUGAUCCCUAAUGACAAAAUUCAAAAAGUUCUGAGGAUAAGUUUUGAUUCUUUACACGAAGAUCAUGACCAAAAUUUAUUCCUUCAUAUAGCUAGCUUCUUCACAGGAAAGACGAUGGAUUAUAUAAUUACAAUACUGGACAACUUAGAGUUUUGCACAAGGGUUGGGAUUGAAAAUCUAGUUGAUAGAUGUCUAGUGACAAUUCAAGGGACGAAGUUGGUCAUGCAUCAAUUGUUGAGAAACAUGGCAAUGGCAAUUAUUCGCAAAGAAUCACCUCAUGACCCUGGAAAACGUAGUAGAGUGUUGCAGAACGAUGCCUCUAAUAUUUUGAGAAAAUUAAGUGUAAGAAAUGUGUUUUUCAUGCGUAUGUAUUUUUAGUUAUGAUUUGCAUGUGCAGUACUGGUUAUAUACUUACCCAAUGCUCUGAUUUUUUUGCAGGGCACAGAAAAUAUUAAGGGCCUCAUGCUCAACCUUGCUAGCAAAAGAACAUUUGUUGGAAGUGAUAACAAACGAUGCCAUGCUGAAGAUUAUGAUGGAAACUGUUCAAGACGACGUCGGCUUGGUUUCUUCUCUUGGAAGCCAGUUAGUUUUUCCUCCACAAACUCAGCUUCUGCAUCAAAUGAGAUAGAUUUCAAAUCUGAGGCUUUUAGAAGGAUGCACAAUCUUGAAAUUCUCAUGCUCAACAACGUCAACGUCAGGGGAAGCUACGAAGAAUUUUCAAAAAAAUUAGUAUGUUUAUCUUGGCGAGGAUUCCACUUAAAAUCAAUACCCGAAAAUUUUUGUUUGGAAAACCUGGUUGUUCUAGACAUGCGAAAUAGUAGCCUACAACAUGUUUGGAAUGAGACCAGGGUAUGUAAUUAUCUCUCUCUCUCUCUCUCUCUCACACACACACAAAAAUUAAUAGGGGCCAUUAUAUCUUCUUAGAAGCUAAUUAAUUUGUAUUAUUAUUGAAACAGGUUAUUCCGAGGCUGAAGAUUCUUAAUUUCAGUCAUUCGCAUGGCCUUAGGACAGUCCCCGAUUUCUCAGGACUCUAUAACCUUGAGAGGUUGAUUCUUAAACAUUGCAUAAAUUUGGUUGAGGUUCAUGAGUCCAUCGGAAACCUAGAAAAACUUGCUGUUUUGAAUCUAGAAGGCUGCAAAAAUCUCAUGAAGCUUCCAGUAUUGAGAUCUAUUCAGGAUCUUAUUCUUUCUGGUUGCUCAAAGCUUGAAAUGAAGAAACUCAAUCUGGUAUCAGCUAAAUCAUGGUAUUCAGUCUGGUCGUGGGUGUCGCCAAGAAAACAUACUGAAUUAAGCAGUUUCUCAUUGGCAAGUUUACCACGUUCUUUGAUAAGUUUAAGUCUGGAUUGCUGCAAUAUAUCAGAGAUUCCAAGUGCCCUAACUAUGCUGUCCUCGUUAGAGUACUUGAAGCUGGAUGAUAAUCCGAUUACAAGCCUACCAGAAAGCAUGAACAAUCUUGUUAAGCUCCAGAGUCUUAAAGUAUCUGGUUGCAGAAACCUCACAAUGCUUCCAGAGCUCCCACGUUCUUUGACAAGUUUAACACUGGCUUGCUGCAAUAUAUCAGAGAUUCCAAGUGCCCUAACUAUGCUGUCCUUAUUAGAGUACUUGGAUCUUGAUGGUAAUCCGAUUACAAGCCUACCAGAAAGCAUGAACAAUGUUGUUAAGCUCCAGACUCUUAAAGUAUCUGGUUGCAGAAACCUCACAAUACUUCCAGAGCUCCCACGUUCUUUGACAUGUUUAACACUGGCUUGCUGCAAUAUAUCAGAGAUUCCUAGUGCCCUAACUAUGCUGUCCUCAUUAGAGUACUUGGAUCUUGAUGGUAAUCCGAUUACAAGCCUACCAGAAAGCAUGAACAAUGUUGUUAAGCUCCAAACUCUUAAAGUAUCUGGUUGCAGAAACCUCACAAUACUUCCAGAGCUCCCACGUUCUUUGACAGGUUUAACACUGGCUUGCUGCAAUAUAUCAGAGAUUCCAAGUGCCCUAACUAUGCAGUCCUCAUUAGAGUACUUGGAUCUUGAUGGUAAUCCGAUUACAAGCCUACCAGAAAGCAUGAACAAUCUUGUUAAGCUCCAGACUCUUAAAGUAUCUGGUUGCAGAAACCUCACAAUACUUCCAGAGCUCCCACGUUCUUUGACAGGUUUAACACUGGCUUGCUGCAAUAUAUCAGAGAUUCCAAGUGCCCUAACUAUGCAGUCCUCAUUAGAGUACUUGGAUCUUGAUGGUAAUCGGAUUACAAGCCUACCAGAAAGCAUGAACAAUCUUGUUAAGCUCCAGACUCUUAAAGUAUCUGGUUGCAGAAACCUCACAAUACUUCCAGAGCUCCCACGUUCUUUGACAUGUUUAACACUGGCUUGCUGCAAUAUAUCAGAGAUUCCAAGUGCCCUAACUAUGCAGCCCUCAUUAGAGUACUUGGAUCUUGAUUGUAAUCCGAUUACAAGCCUACCAGAAAGCAUGAACAAUCUUGUUAAGCUCCAGACUCUUAAAGUAUCUGGUUGCAGAAACCUCACAAUACUUCCAGAGCUCCCAAGUUCUUUGACAUGUUUAACACUGGCUUGCUGCAAUAUAUCAGAGAUUCCAAGUGCCCUAACUAUGCUGUCCUCGUUGGAGUACUUGGAUCUUGAUGGUAAUCCGAUUACAAGCCUACCAGAAAGCAUGAACAAUCUUGUUAAGCUCCAGACUCUUAAAGUAUCUGGUUGCAGAAACCUCACAAUACUUCCAGAGCUCCCACGUUCUUUGACAUGUUUAACACUGGCUUGCUGCAAUAUAUCAGAGAUUCCAAGUGCCCUAACUAUGCUGUCCCUCGUUGGAGUACUUGGAUCUUGAUGGUAAUCCGAUUACAAGCCUACCAGAAAGCAUGAACAAUCUUGUUAAGCUCCAGACUCUUAAAGUAUCUGGUUGCAGAAACCUCACAAUACUUCCAGAGCUCCCAUGUUCUUUGACAAGUUUAACACUAGCUUGCUGCAAUAUAUCAGAGAUUCCAAGUGCCCUAACUAUGCUGUCCUCGUUGGAGAAGUUGGAUCUGAGUUGCAAUCCGAUUACAAGCCUACCAGAAAGCAUGAACAAUCUUGUUAAGCUCCAAACUCUUAAAGUAUCUGGUUGCAGAAACCUCACAAUACUUCCAGAGCUCCCACAUUCUUUGACAAGUUUAACACUGGCUUGCUGCAAUAUAUCAGAGAUUCCAAGUGCCCUAACUAUGCUGUCCUCGUUGGAGAAGUUGGAUCUGAGUUACAAUCCGAUUACAAGCCUACCAGAAAGCAUGAACAAUCUUGUUAAGCUCCAGACUCUUAAAGUAUCUGGUUGCAGAAACCUCACAAUACUUCCAGAGCUCCCACGUUCUUUGACAAGUUUAACACUGGCUUGCUGCAAUAUAUCAGAGAUUCCAAGUGCCCUAACUAUGCUGUCCUCAUUAGAGUACUUGGAUCUUGAUGGUAAUCUGAUUACAAGCCUACCAGAAAGCAUGAACAAUCUUGUUAAGCUCCAGACUCUUAAAGUAUCUGGUUGCAAAAACCUCACAAUGCUUCCAGAGCUCCCGCGUAGUUGAAACAAUUGUGUGAUCGUGGUUGCACAUCAUUGAAAAGAAUAACAAAUUAACCGAAGUUGGGCAUGUCACCGGGCUUAGAUUACCGGUUUUCUUGCAUAGUAAUGGACCCAAGGCUAUGGUAUUGUGGGAAACUUGUUGAUUUUAGAAGCUUGUUGGAUACACUAGCAUUGGACUUAUAUCUCUCAGAUCUAUUCGAUUUGGAACCCAAAGGUGGCAUUGAGGUCCAAGGGAACUAUUGUGAGAGUUUGGGCGUCAAGGUUCUCUCUCUCUCUCUCUCUCUCUCUCUCUCUCUCUCUCAUGUACAAAUGCUUAUAAUAUGGUGAAUAAGAUCUCUAUGGCGUAAACGAUUAGAUUGUAAUGACAACACCACCAUGAAACUGCAGGGAACUUUUCACUGCUGCAUAUUGAGCAUAUUUGUUCAUGGGAGCAAGAUUCCAGAUCGGUUCAAUUACAGGAGCAUGGGUAACACUGUGUUCUCUAUUAUUGUUCCUUCACAUCUAAGGGGGGUGUAUUCAAUUAGGAUUUUGAGAGAGUCUCUAGGAAUUAAUGAUUCCAGGUGUAUUCAAUUGGGAAUUUAAAAGACUUUAUAAAAGUCUUGGUGUAUUCAAUUGAGAUUCUUAAAGACUUCUUACAAUUCCCUAUAAAUUCAGGUGUAUUCAAUCAUAACUUUUUGAAAGUCUCUAAAAGUUUAGGUAUAUUGAGAAAGGAAUUGGAUUUGAACGGAUUUGUGAUUUGGUGGAUUUUGGAGGAUUUCAAGGUGAUAUGUAUACCAAAGAGCUUGGCAAAUCUCACCUCAACCCUAGAAACUUUGAGACAUGUUGAGCGUGCUGCUCUCUCCUCCAGAGAGCGUCUUCUCCUCCCCAGAAACAUGGGCUCCAAGGUAAAAAAUUUCUCACCUUGUACAUGCUAUCUUUUUUUCUCCCCUUCAAGCUUCAUGAUUUUCUUGUUUUGAUAGUGUUGUUCUAGGGUUAGGGUUUUUCUGGUUACUUUGGAGUUAAGGUUUUUCUUGUUAGGGUUAGGGUUUUUCUGACCAUCAAACUUUGUGAAAUUUUUAUAUAUAUAUUGUGAAGAUACAAGUAUUGAUUUUACCGUUUGGAUCCAAAAGUUGUUGAGUUUCUGCUUUGAUUACUUUGGAAUACAGUAUAGAUUGGGUUAGGGUUUGGAAUUCUCAAGUUUGUAUAGGUUGUUUUCCUUUUCCAUCCCGUAAUCAGUGGAGCACUGAUCCUUUUCUUUUCAACUGCAACAUUCUUGCAACCUCAUUCUUUUUCUUUUCAUCUUAAUAAAAAAUUUAUUUCAUGCCUCAAAGUUUUUUUUUUUAGUCGAAACAUGGUAGGGUGAAGUUGUUUCCUUGAUUUUUCAACCUUUGUAUCUAGUCUAUUCCUGAUCAGCCUGUAAUAGGGCUCGUACUUCUUGGCAUUCUUUACGGUAUCAUAAAUCAAAUCAAAACCAAUGGAUUUCCCCCUCCAAAAUGGGUGCAGAACUUGAAUAUGAAGAUGGAAUUUGGGUCCCUCACCUCUGAAAACGUUGUCUAUACAAAUAAUUUGUCACUCCAAAAGUUGUUGAGUUUCUGCUUUCUCUAUUCUUUUAAAAUGUUUUUUGCUCACUUAUACGAAUUAGCUGUGAAUAAAGAAUCCAUGUGAUCAUAUACACAAACUAAUUACGUUUAUUAUCUUAUUAUAGGGAGUUCAUUUGGAGUUGCAAGGAAGUGAUUUCAGAGGUGAGGCAUUUAUGUCCAAUAUUCUUCUGAACUAUCGUCCUAAUAUUUAGAACUCACCUUGAUAUGUAAAUGUAUGACUGGAACGAAUUUAUGACUCCAAACUGUAUUAGCUGCUUGUAACUUUGAUUUGGAAUUCAUAUAUAUUCUUAGUUGAUGGGAGGGUUCAGCUCAUGACUCCAAACUGUUACAUGAUGUUGUAUCAAGGAAGAACAGACUUAAAGUUCCAGAAGGUUCGUAUUCAUUCAUUUAUUUACACUAGGACGUACCAUAAAUAAUAACUUUAUGUGUUUUAUUUUUAGGUAAAUUUUUUCUAGUGGAUUGUGGAUUUGCAAAUCGUCGUCAAAUUUUAGCUCUGUUUUGAGGUGUUCGAUAUCAUCUCCAAGAUUUUGCUGGUAACGAUCGUGACCCCGUAAAUGCAAAUGAGUUGUUCAAUCUUCGACAUGCUUCCUUGAGAAACAUAGUGGAGAGGAUAUUUGGUGUAUUUAAAUCUCGAUUCAUAGUUUUUAAGUCUGCACCUCCAUUUCCAAUGAAAACACAAGCAGAGUUAGUGUUAGCUUGUGCAGGAUUGCACAACUUUCUUCGCAAAGAGUGUCGUUCUGAUGAAUUUCCAAUCAAACAAGAAGAUGAUGAAUUUGAAAAUGAUGAUGAACUAGGUAAUCAAACUCAAGAGCAACGGCGACAGAUUGCUAAUGCAUGGAGAGCUAGCAUAGCUACAAAUAUGUGGACAGAUGCUAUGAGUGAGAGCAUUCAAAGAUGACAAAUAUAAUUAAUUGUUUUUACGGAUUGGAGUAUGCAAUUUGUGUUUGAAAAACUUUGAUAGUUAGUAUUUUGUAAGCCUUAACUUUCAAGAUUUUGGAUGCCAAUGUUUAAUUCACUUUGAUAGCUACUUGAAAACAUUGCAUGUGAACUUGGUAUUGGGAUUUGGUAUUAGUAGGAUGAAACUGAUUUUGGCUUGUAAAGGGAAGGAAAAUGUUGAUCAAAUUCUCUAAAAUUCUCUAACCCCAUGUAAAGAAUUCUCUCAUAAUUCAUGUGAAUUCUCUGGAAGUUAUAAUUAAUUCACUCAAAAUCUCUGGGAAUUCAUUUUUUUUUCCUCUCAAACUCUCUCAGAUUCCAUAGAUUUAAAUUCCUGGAGACUCUCAAAAUCCUAAUUGAAUACACUCCCCUCUCAAGAUCGUAGGUUUAAACGCAUGUAUAUUAUAUGCACAGCAGUCGGAUUGCCUUGAGGUUGCACGUGACCAUGAUGACCAUUCGCUAGAACUUAGGAAUGAGACAAAGGGCCUUAAGUGGAACUGCCACUUGUGGGAUGAGGUUGAAUGGAAAGUGAUGAACGAAGAUAUGUUAUGGCUUAGCCGUUGGAUCAUGGGGGAACAAUGAGUUGGAAUGCGGGGAAAGAGUGUGUCUUGCAAUCAAAGAGGACUAUGGUUUGCUCACAAAGGAGAUUGGAGUCCAGUUUGUGUACGAGCAGCAAAAUAAGGAUAAGGAGGAUGUCCCAUCAAGUGGUGAAGAUACAACGAUCCAACGUGAAAGAUCUACUUGGGAGUGGAGCCAAAGUUUCCUUGAAACCACAAGAUCCCGUGUUCCGGGGGGUGUAGAGACGGGGGUUCAAUGCAUCCAUAGCUGCGAUAAGAAAGUAAUUUCAACUGUCACGUGCGCGGCUGAAUACUAUUUCUGUAACAUUGACAGUGACAGGAUCCAUCUUCCGAGAGGCUCUGAGGCAGUGGGUCGUAGGUUUUCGGACUUUAGCCAAAAUUGUCGCCUUUUUAGCCAAAAUAACCCAGUUUAAUUGAUGUUGGUGAUGCCCAAAUCACUAGAUUCAAAUGUGUAUUGGUUGUUACGCUUUCGUUUCUAUCUAUUUUCUGUUUCCUCCUAAAAAAUUGUUUUCAAGAAUUUAAUAAAAUUUCAUAUUAAACAAGUUCUUGCCUGGAUAAGAGUAUGAACUAGCAAAAAUGCCCGCGCUCCGCUGCAGGGACUUUUAGAAGUAUGAUCUUGUACAAUCUGAUUUCUUUUGCUAUUCCUAGUUCUUUUUGGCAUCAUGUGCAAAACCAAAUUGAUGGCUAGGAAGAAAAAAUGAAAACACCUGCAUAAAUUAAAUUUUCCAUCACCCCUACAUUAUAAUUAAAUAAAGCAAAUACACAAUAAUCAUCUCACAAUUACAGAAGCAAGGACUAUUAAAUGCCACAAUUAUUUAACAACUACUAUGCAUAAUUCUUAAAAAAUGAGUAUAAAAUUAACCUCUUUUGAAAAACGAAGGAAGAAAGAUGAAAGCUUAUAACUAUGUUGGACUCAAUUAUUUGACAUUAAUUACACAAACCCAAUUCCAUAUAUAUAGCCAGACAAGCUUUAUCCUAGAGAGAAACCAUGCCCAAAUGAUUAUAUAAUCUCUAUACUGUGAAUUCAGAGACUAAAUUUCAUAACUUUGCCAAGCAUUACAGGAACCAUGGAAAGAAUAAAAAUGACCACAAAGAUUGCAAAACAAUUAACCACAGGUGGUGUUUAUAUGCCCACUGAGAGAAAAAAGCUUCUGCAAGUCAAAAAACGUAUUUAUAUAAAACAGGCCUGUACCAUUUGAAAGAGCCUCUUGUAUCCAUUCCAAUUAUACUCAUGUCUACCAUAUCCCUCUACAAUUCCACACCACCAAUCAACCAUAACUGAUUUCAAUACCCUUAGCUGCUUUAGUGGACCAUCUAGUGACACCUAACUGCCACCAAAAUAAAAGACAUGAUCAAGACCAUACAGAUUACAGACUAAGAUUAAAAACAAUUGUUAUCUAUUAAGCAAAACUCGAACUCCUUGACAUGGCAACCUCUUAAUCCAGGAUGUAGAGUAGAAAAACAAAAUUAUUGAAAAACCGAAAAAUAACAAUUUAACUUGCAUAGUAAACGAAUAUUAGUAAAGUUACAGAACUCAAUGGACUACAUAUACCAGUAAAAAAGCGAAACAUCAGUGUUUGGGAAGUUACCUUAUUUGAAAUGUCAGGAGCAUUUGGUGUACAUACAGGGUAGACAGUCCUUGCAAAAUUCAGGGCUUCAAAAUAAAAUAAAAAAUAAAUUCAAAACUAUUAAUCCUAACACCUGUUCAGUAAAGGAUAAAACAAUCUUUCCAUCAAACAAAUUUGAGAAACAAAAAAAGGGAACUAAAUUUAAGUUGAAUAGAGGUGACAAUUGCUUACCUAGAAAUCCAAACGAAAUCCCCCAAAAUUCACGCCCCCAAAACCCUACAAAACACUAGAGUUGAAAACCAGCGCUACACUGGGAUCAUCCACACAGCGACGAACUCCGAUCAUUGUCACCGAUCUCCAUCUCCUUCCAAAGCCAAAACCCUUUUAAGAAAAAGAGGGUAAUGAAUAUGAUAAAGCCAGUAAUGAAUUUUUUUUUGAAAAGAAACGAAAGAAUUUUAUAAAACGAAAGAAUUACAAAAGAGAAACAGUAAACCACGUGGAAAAGAAAUCCACCUGGAGCUAGAAGAAAACUAGCAAGGGCCCCUAACUAAAACUAAAUGAACAGAGGAAAAGCUAGACCAAAUCAAAUAACGGCAGCUAACAAAUCCCUAAAAAUAGAAGAGAAAUUGUAAUCUCUAAACUCCACUGAAACCGAAGCCCAAAGGGCUGCCCAGUGUUUUACUCUAUCCCAAAGCUCCUCAACCCCCACUCCCUUGUAAUCCUCAAAGACUCUUUUAUUACGCUCCAACCAAAUGUUCCAGAAGAGGGCCAACAACAGAGAUCCCCACAAAGUUUUGGCUUUCCUCCCUUUCCCUAGGCCUUCGAACUUAGUGCUUAGGAGCUCAAAACAGCCCUUUGGAGUGACCCAACUUGCUCCAGCUUCCUUGAGCAAAUUCCACCAAAUUUGAAUGCUAUACGGACAGUGGAGGAAAACAUGGUUGACGCUUUCCUCCCCGGAUUUGCACAAAGCGCACCAUUGGGGGGAGAAACAUGCAAAAGGCAUUCGUCUUUGGACUUGUUCACAAGUAUUAACCUUCCCGAGCGCCAAUAGCCACACAAGGAUUUUGACUUUUGGAGGCACUUUUGCUUUCCAAAUCUGAACGAAAGGGGGAAAUUGUUGCACAACUUCAUUGUUGCAAAGGAAAGAGUUAUAGGAUUUGCAAGUGAACUGGCCAGAACCUUCUAAAUUCCAUCUUCUCCUGUCUUCUCUAGAAUGACACAGCCGUACGGACUCCACCUUCUGCACUAAACCAGCCACAUCUUCAAUCUCCGACUCUCUUAGGUUUCUCCUAAAAUCGAAAUUCCAACUGACCGGCUGUAAAGAAGAAACCACCAAAUUGGAAUACUUUGGUUUUUUGUCCUUGCUAAAGAAAAUAAUCUAGGGAAUUGCUCCUUCAACGGUCCGCCCUCCAACCAACCGUCCUCCCAGAAUCUCAGCCUCUCUCCGUUACCAACCUCGAAGAUGCAUGAGUGAAGAAAUGAAGGGUAACCAGCUGAGAUGUCUGUCCAGGGACGCCUGCUCGAGCCUCGACUCGGACAAUUAGCAUCCCAACCAUUUGCCACCAGACCGUACUUGCUCUUUAUCACCCUAUGCCAAAGAGAGUUUGAUUCGCGCGGGAAUCUCCACAGCCACUUGGCUAAUAAGGCGGCAUUCCGAUUUCUCAAAUUUCCCAGACCAAGGCCACCUUCCUCCUUGCUUUUACACACUUUCUCCCACUUGACCAAGUGAAACUUCUUUCCUUCCUCAACCCCUUCCCAAAGGAACCCUUUCAUUAGCUUUUCCAAUCUCCCAAUGACCCCUCGUGGGGCUUUGAACAGGGACAUGUAGUAUAUGGGCAAGGAUCCUAGGACAGCUUGGAUCAAUGUUAAUCUUCCGCCUCUAGAUAAAAAAGCUUUAUUCCAACCCUGAAGUCUCAAUUCCACCUUCUCUACCACCGGGUCCCAGAACUUAAUAGAUUUUGGCUUGCCUCCGAGGGGAAGACCCAGGUAUUUCAUUGGCCAACUGCCCACCUCACAGCCCCAAGAACUUGCUAGCCUUGUAAUUUUCUCGCCAUUAGAAUUAAUUCCCACCAAGGAACACUUUGCUUUGUUAAUCUUCAAACCUGAAACCUUGCCAAAAAUUUGCAGCAAAUGUAAUAAAUUGUUCCAAGCCUCCUCAUGCCCUUCCAAGAAAAAAAUUGUGUCAUCCGCAGAUUGAAGAUGAGAGAUCUCCACGUUAUCUUGCCCAACACGCAGCCCUUUGAUCAAAUGAUUAUCUUGAGCCUUCUCAAUUAAUCUGCUCAGCACGUCUACAACUAGGGUGAACAAGAACGGAGACAGAGGGUCACCUUGUCUCAGUCCUCUUGAAGCUUUGAAUUUUCCCCUAGGUCUCCCAUUGAUCAGAACUGAGAAAGUAGCCGUGCAUAUGCAACCAAGCACCCAUUUUCUCCAUCUAAACCCGAAUCCCUUUCUCAGUAAUACUUCUUCCAAGAAUCUCCAAUCGACGUGGUCAUAAGCUUUUUCGAAAUCAAUCUUAAGAACCAAACCCUCCUCCUUCUUCUGCCUCACCUCUUCGACCACCUCGUUUGCUACGAGGACAGCGUCCAGAAUUUGUCUGUCUUUAACAAAAGCUCCUUGAGAUGGGGAAAUUGUACUGCCCAUGACAUUCUUUAGUCUUGUAGCAAGGACUUUCGCCACUACCUUGUAAAGACUGGUAACUAAGCUUAUAGGCCUAUAGUCCCUCAAGUGCACAGAAUCUGCCUUUUUCGGGAUUAGGCAUAUAUAAGUUUCAUUUGUUACUGUGUUUAUAAUCCCAUUUUCGAAGAAUUCUUCCAACACCUUCAUGAUAUCCGCCUUCAAAAUAUCCCAACAACUUUGGAACAUUUGCAAAGAGAAGCCAUCUGGGCCAGGGGACUUAUCAUUCCCACCAUCGAAAACGGCUUUUUUAACUUCGGCUUCCUCGAACGGCCGUUCAAGCCAAGCUGCCUCGGUGGCAUUAAUUGGACCCCAAUUAAUACCAUCCAGCCCCCAGCACUCCUCUUCGUUGCUACUGUACAGAGACUUGAAAAAAUGAAUGAUUUCAUUUUCAAUCUCCUCUACCCCUUCUACCAUUCUACCAUCUUCCACUUCCAAUCUCUCUAUAAAAUUUCUCUUCCUUCUCCCACUUGCUACCUUAUGGAAAAAUCUAGUGUUGCCAUCCCCGUCUUUGGCCCAAUCCACUUUGCUUCUCUGCCUCCACUUUACUUCUUCCUUCCAAGCCAGAUCUUCCACUAGGAAUCGGGUCUCUUCCCUCUUUCUUUUUGAAUCCGAGUCUAGACCUUCCCUUCCUUCUUUAAAGUCAAUUUCCUCUAAUUUGGCAUGGGCUUCCUUAAGAUUUCUCUCAAUGUCUCCGAAGACCUCCUUGCUCCAAGAUUGCAACUUCUUUUUAAUAAUUUAACUUACUGGAAAAUUUGUAUCCCUCCCAACCUUCGACUAUCGCAGAAAACCACCACUCUUUGAGAUUGUUUCUAAAAUCCGGAUGAUGUAGCCAAGAAUUCUCGAACCUAAAAGGGCCUGGCCCCCACGUCACCUUGUUGGUAUCUAAUUCGAUUGGGCAAUGAUCAGAGGUUACCCUUGCCAGAGCCUUUUGCCUUGCAUGUGGAAACGACUCCUCCCAACCACCAGAGAAUAAGAAUCUGUCUAAUCUUCAGCAAACUGUUUCUUCUCGAAAAUUAGACCAAGUGAACUGAGCGUUGAGCAGAUCUGGGUCAAUGAGUUCGGAGUCCUGGAUAAACUGGUUAAAAAUCCUCAUACUUGCAGUGGACCUUCCCCCAUUAGACUUCUCGUUUUCGAACCUCACCACAUUAAAAUCUCCCCCCACACACCAUCUUGGACUGCAAAGACCAUAAAGGCCAGCUAGUUCUUCCCAGAAAUCUUGUCUCUCCCUAUAUUUGCAAGGGCCAUAGACCCCUGAGAGCCACCAUUCCAAACCAUUCAACUCUCUAAUUUUGAUGGAAACUGAGAACACUCCUACUAGAGACUCGACAACUGAGAUAUGUUUAGUGUUCCACAUUACAACAAUGCCCCCAGAACUUCCUUGAGCAGGGGCGAAAACCCAUUCUUUAAAUCUGCUUCCCCACACACUUGCCACUAGCUUUCUAUCAAUUGUGGCCGUUUUUGUUUCUUGUAAAAUGAUGAUAUCAGCCCGUGCUCGGCGGAAGUAGUCCUUCAAAAGCACCCUUUUCCUUCUGCUACCCAAACCUCUAAUAUUCCAGCUAAUUAUCUUCAUUUAAAUUUAUCAAACCCCUUUUGCUCUUCCUUUUCUCUCCUCUUCCCACCCGCACCCCUGAGCUUUUACCAAGGAAUAAGGAUUUUUUUAGUGGCAUCAGCGAAAUCUUCAUGUUUGACAAAAAUUCGCUAGAUCGUCCAGUAGCCUCCCAUUUGUCAGAGACUCGGCCGGACCUUUUCCUUCUGCUAUAUUUAAGCACGUUGUUGUUGUCGUCAUUUUCCUUGGUUUGAUUUUGUUCGACUACCUCAAGAUCUUGUCUGUAAUCCCGUAGGGUACCCUCCUCUUCAGUUGCCGAAAUCAUUUCCUUGUCUCCAUCGGAGAAUAGAUUCUGCAGUAUACCUUCACCACUGUCAAUUGGAUCGAAAUUAGCCUUCUCAUCUUGGGGCGAAUCCCCGAGCUCAACUUCUGAUUCAGAACCCUGAGACCAAUCAUCUUCCUCAGCAAGGUAAUCGAAAUCCAGAGUUGGAAAAAAGUUUCUUGAGGAAAUAUUGCCGCUGACCGGUUCCAUCCUCUGUGCGGCAGAUGUUACACAAAGAGGAUUGUGACCCAUUAACUCCUCCAUCUCUUCGUCCUGAUCCGAAUCGUCAUCUAGGGAUAGAAGAUUAGAAGCACCGAUUUUCUUUGGCGUUUCUUCCUCGUUGAGGUUCAGCCUCGAUCCGAACUCUUUUGGAAGAACAAGUUUAAACCUUUUCUCUGCAUUGGCUAAGUCUCCGAAUUUCGCAAUAAAUUUCAGAUUGCUGCAAAUUAUAGUGGCUUCGAUUCCCUUCUCGUGGGCACGAAAGGUGCUUCUUUCUGAUGCCAUCUGGACUGUGUGAAACAGAUCUACAAACUGAAAAUUUGGCAUCACCAUUACUUCUUUUCCGUGAUGGAAUAACCCAAUUUCUAUCGCCAAUCACCCUUGCUGAGUGAUGAUUCACACACUUCCUCAUACUUGUUUAUGGGUACCUAUCCAACAAAAUUUUGACUUAGUACCCAAAAACUGUAUCAGCUCACGAACAGAUCAAAUUCAAAGCAGAACCCACAUAUUCUGAAGAUUCUAGAGUUAAAAGAGGAGCAAGGAGGUUCGGUUACGGAAUCCAAAACGCCAUUUUAAUGAGCAAAUGAAUACCUAAACUGGGGUUAACAAUUUUCAGCAAUAAAAAACAUGUCUUUCGAUCGAAGUUGCAUAUAUUACAGAACUUUGGGAUUAAGGAGGAACAAAAAGCCCAAUUCCAAUCAAGAAAAAUAAAAAAAAUUGUAUGUAAAUUUAAGCUUUACCUGUAGAUUGGCAGCAGCAAAAGCAUACUGGAUCCAACGGGAGCCACGUGAGAGAACUGGAUGCCCAGCCUUUGACACGUUAUCAAGUGAGUUUAGGGAUCUGGGUUUUGUGCUUGCCGUUGAAUUUUGGAACGAUCCGGAGAAAUUUGGGUUUUAUGGUUCUAAGGGUUUGAGUGAACCGAAAUUGAUUUGGAUGAGCAACUUUUGGUUUCGAUUCGCGGUGGAGCAAGGAUGAAGAGGUGGAGGAGGAAGGAAUGAAGGGGUGAGAAAAUUUGGAUAGGCAGUAUUCGGUUUCGAUUCGAAGUAGAGCAAGAAUAAAGCUCUUGGAAUUCUUUGAACCACUCUAUGAAUAGUAUGACCUGUGAGUGAUUGAUUGUGUAACAAAAAUUAGUAAAAGAGAGUAAGAGUUAUAUAUGAAACUAUAUCAUUGGAACCACUUUGUGAGAAGUUGUAGUACUAUGGUAUACUCACUAUGGUAUACUCACUUUGUCCUUCGGAUGAUUGAACUUGCACAUCGUACAAAUUUGCAUCUUUGAGUCUUCAUAAAGUACUGCAACAUGCAAAUGGAAAAUGAUCAAUUAACAGUUCAAGUGCUUAAAUGCAUUAUUUCUGCAAAAAGAAUAAACAAUUGAAGUGCUACUUACAGGACAAUCUGGUGCUCCAGGUCUCUCGGGAAGGACUUCAGUUGAGCAACGCCAAAGCACAAAUUCAAUGGAAAGAACCAAUGCAAUUUACUUGUGAUGUUAAGUUGAACAUCCGAUGCCUUGGAGAAAUUAUUGAGCAUCAAAUGAUAAAGCAAUCAGAUUAUAGUAAAUUACUAAAUGAUAUUUACAAAAAUAAAAAACAUCAAGUUAAGAGAACAAUGAAAAACUUAAGAAUUAGCCUUAGCAAAGUUAAGAGAACUUAAUGGUAAAAACAAAAAGCUAGCACUUACUCAGUCGCAUUACCUAGACGCUCUGCUAAAGGUACGGUGCCCACUAAGCUGAAGAAGAAGACCCAUCCCUAACAUAUACAAAGUAAUUGUCAAUGGAUUAGGGGUGAAGUCAAUCUAAAUUAUUGAAAGGAUGUGCAAAAAAGAAACCAUGUUGGACACAUUCUUACACAGAACAAGAAAAAAACUUAAAAACAUACACUUAAAAAGUAAAAAACAGGUAUGAAUAUUAAGUGAACCAAAAGCAGAACAAACCCCUAAAAGUGCUUCAGUUCAGGUGGGUUUUCUAGUAUUUUAUCAAUAAUAUCAGAUCAACAAAACCCUUGAUGCAAAUCCAAUCCGAUAUUGAAAACAGAUGAAUAUAAGAGAGGGAAAAAAACACUUUUAUUGGGCCUCAUAUUUACUGCGGCACAGAAUCCACUAUUCUCCAUAGCAAAAGGAAAAUACCGUAUUCUCAGCUUCAAUUUCUUGGAAAUUAAAUAAGGCAUUCACCAGCAUUCCCGCAUAGAAAUCACAUAAAGUGUAUGACCGAUUCACGAAAUUUCAAUUCAAUCUAACUAUCAAUCUAUAAGUGUGAAAUGACUGAUUCGUAUACAUACAUUAUUCAUUUAACCAAAUCUAAAUGGCUGUAUUGUAUAUAUGGCAGUUAACACACGUAUACGAAAGUGAAUGCACAAACAUACAUAACUGAACACAUUUGAACAUUUGAGUAGGAGGGAAUGUAUAAAAUUUGAUGCAUAUAAACAUAUGUACCAAGUAACAAACCAAUCCAUAGUUUCCCUCUUCAAAUAACAAAAUCCACAGAAACCCAGCAUUGAAAAUUCAAGGACACUCAAAAGAACUGUAAACGAAACCGAAAUGCCCAAAUCUCACUGAAGAAAAAGGAAAGAUUCCAAGAUUACACAAAACCCAAAAUAACACAAACAAAUCUCAAAGCAUUUCUCAAAAGGACAUAUUACAAUCAAAGAAAGUGAAAACUCUAAUAAAUUAGCUUAGAGAAUAAAUUACCUAGCAGAGAAGCCCAUUUUUUGGGAGCAGUUUAGCCACAUGCAUGUACCAACAUUGAAAACAAACAAAAAGUUCAUAAAAAAUGAAGAAGAAUCGAAAGAAAACGAAGCAGAAAGGAGCAUACCUGUACUCGUAGAUAUCAUCAAAGUACUUCUCGAAGUACCGGAUCUGACCCUGCUAUUUAAUCCCAAACCACGAUUUCAAGCAAAAUCUCGAACAGGGGUUUUCAAAUUUCUCAGCUUAAUCUGCGAAAUAAAGACUGUUUUCAAGAAAUUAAACAUAUUAUAUGUGCACUGCACACACUUGCGAACCGGCUUACUUAACUAAUAUUUUUCUAGGUCAAAUUUUAAUUAUUUGAUUCCUUGUAUCGAUAAUAUUAGAUGUAAAUACAUGCAUGUUUAUGGAAUUCAAUGAGAAAAACCAUAUACCUCAGUUUUUUCAGAUGAUCAGUCACCCUCCCCCCUAGUCCCUUGAACGUUAAAAUUCUCAUGAGCUUGCUUGUUCCAUGUCGUGCCUUACUCCCAUUCGGAUCCUUCUCUUUCUCCUAGUUGGAGAGACUGAUUCAAGCAAAAUCAAACAUUCAGACAACACAUCUCUCACUUGAUUGAUUGGUACCAAACGAAGGCCAUUGAUACUUAUUUGUAAUUUAAUUAAUAAAAAAAAUUAAACGCUUCAUAAAAUUAUACAAAAAAUUCCAGAAAUUUACGAAAAUAGAGAAAGAGGUUGUACAAAACCUACACAAAAAUUACUAAAUUCCAGAUAAAAUCAUACAAAAAAAAUCCAGAAAUUUAACGAAGAUAGAGAAAGAGGAAAAACCAAAUAUUUCAGCCCAGAUCCUUGAAGUUCUCGAGGACUUUGGACUUUGCCGGGUUGGAGAGAUAGUUUCUCGGAUCAGAAAGUAGGUGGCGUGGCCGGCCUUGGCGCUGGCCUCGACGAUAAACUUUCCGGUGCUGCCGAUGAAGAGGAUUUUGGGCUUGGUUACCAUCAGGAAUGGGAUUGGGGGGAAUCAGAAUGGGAUGUGUUGGAGAGAGAGAGAGAGAGAGAGAGAGAGAGAUUCAAAGUGGUGCAUGAAAGAAGAGGUGGAGAGUCGGUGAGGAGGAGAUUGAGCUCCUUCUGCAGUCGGCAAUCCCAGAGGAAAUCGAAAUGAAAGCACGCGGGAAUGGAGAGUUCGAGAGACAUCCACCAUCAAUAAGUGGAUAAAACACAGGCACAUAUGAAAUAACAAAAAAUAAGAGAGGGCAAAAAAGGAAAAACACUGUAGAAGUAACAGUGUUUUGAGUCCGCUAGGACACCAUGGGAAUUAACCUGAAAGUUACUUUUUUAGUAUAUACUAGCAAAGGCGCCCAAGCGUUGCUGCGGGGUUGAAAAUUGUAUAACACAUGUAGAAGUUCUAAAAUAUAUAUAUAUAUAUAUAUAUAUAUAUAUAUAUACAGUAAAUAAUACAGUUUACAUACAUUUGCAAAUUUAUUUACUACUCUAUCAACAAUAAGGAACAAAAUAAGUGUCCUGGGACGGAAUGAAGCCUAUGGUCAUAAAUUGUCAAAUUUCAUACAUGUCAAACUUCAUUUAAGAAACUGAAAAACUAUAAAGAAUAAAGUGAUAAACAUAUAGAGCCAAUUCACAAUAGGAAACCGUUGCUUCACUAAAUAAGCAGUACCAACAAAAUAAUGCUUUUUUUGCUGCAAAAGAUUAGAAAAAGGGAAACAAAAUAUUUAUUUCUAUUUUAUAUUAUGCGGAAAAAAACUUGGAAGAAGAAGCAAUAGUGAAAAGAUCAUAUUUAUUUCAAUUUUUUAGGCAGAGAAAAAUAAAACAAAAUACCCAUUUCAAUAAACAACCUAAAACCCAUUUCACGUUUGUGGGUUUCGAUAUUGCACAAUUAUAUAUGGGAAACAAAUGGCUGUUAAAAGAUUCCUAAAAAAAUUUCUACUCGUUUUCGUACAGUUUUUCUAGAGCCAAAUAGAAACCAACAAUGAAGACACAUUAUGAGAAAGUAUUGAUGAAAACACAGUGUACACAUACCUCCUUAAACCUUUCCUCCUUUUGCUUAGCCUGCAAUUGGAAUAGAUUAUGACUUAGGCAUAAACUCAGAAAUCGGUAAAGAAUGAAACCCAAAAGUAAAUUGCAGUUUCUUAUUAUCAUUUCUCUUAGAAAAGACUAACAAAAUUGUUUCUUAAAAAUUUAAAAUAACAAUAUGUAUAUAAGCAGGAUUGUGCUUAAUUUUCUCUAAUUAAAGAAAUGGUUUGCGCAAUUUAGAACCUAAUAUAACAAAAGCAUACAACAACAACAAAAGCCUUUUCCCACUAAGUGGGGUCGGCUAUAUGAAUCCUAGAACGCCAUUGCGCUCGGUUUUGUGUCAUGUCCUCCGUUAGAUCCAAGUACUCAAGUCUUUUCUUAGGGUCUCUUCCAAAGUUUUCCUAGGUCUUCCUCUACCCCUUCGGCCCUGAACCUCUGCCCCGUAGUCACAUUUUCGAACCGGAGCGUCAGUAGGCCUUCUUUGCACAUGUCCAAACCAUCGGAACCGAUUUUCUCUCAUAUUUCCUUCAAUUUUCGCUACUCCUACUUUACCUCGGAUAUCCUCAUUCCCAAUCUUAUCCUUUCUCGUGUGCCCAUACAUCCCAGAAGCAUCCUCAUCUCUCCGCUACACACCCAUUUUGUGUACGUGUUGAUGCUUCACCGCCCAACAUUCUGUGCCAUACAACAUCGCUGGCCUUAUUGUCGUCCUAUAAAAUUUUCCCUUGAGCUUCAGUGGCCUACGACGGUCACACAACACGCCGGAUGCACUCUUACACUUCAUCCAUCCAGCUUGUAUUCUAUGGUUGAGAUCUCCAUCUAAUUCUCCGUUCUCUUGCAAGAUAGAUCCUAGGUAGCGAAAACGGUCACUUUUUGUGAUCUUCGCUAGAUUGCUCCGGUCAUUAGUGUGAAUAAGUAUAUAAAUGGAUAGAGAUAGGAAAGCAAACACAAGAUGUACGUGGUUCACCCAGAUUGGCUACGUCCACGGAAUAGAGGAGUUCUCAUUAAUUGUGAAGGGUUUACACAAGUACAUAGGUUCAAGCUCUCCUUUAGUGAGUACAAGUGAAUGAUUUAGUACAAAUGACAUUAGGAAAUAUUGUGGGAGAAAGAUCUCGUAACCACGAAACUUCUAAGUACCGGAGUGUGGUAUCGUCUUGACUUGCCUUAUCUGUCUCAUAGGUAGAUGUGGCAUUCUCUGGAAGUACUCUUCCUCCAUCCAGGGGUGGUAUCUGUAACUGGUGGAGAUGCACAAGGUAAUGUAUCAAUUUCACUUGAAGCUUACUUGUAGUUUCAGGCUUGGUCAAGCGCGAUACAAACCAUGUAGUAGGAGUCCCCCAAGUCGCCGGGCUAGGGGAUCUGCUGAAAGAGGUGACAGACAAGGUAAGCAAUCAGAGCCUGCAGUGCCUUUUGGAAGCUUAGUCCUAUUUCGAAAAUCUACAAAGAGAACAAUUGUGAACCCAAAUUAAAGCUUUUUCUCUCACUCAAAAGAAAAAUAGAAACUCUAUACAACAACAACAACAACAACAACAACAAAGCCUUUUCCCACUAAGUGGGGUCGGCUAUAUGAAUCCUAGAACGCCAUUGCGCUCGGUUUUGUGUGAGAUUGUGCAUAAUCAAAAGGCUUGAAAACAAUUGAGAUUGUGCAUAUAGAAACUCUAUAUGGAAAAAAAAUUGAAAUUGUGCAUAAUCAAAAGUGGAUCAAAACUCUAAAUAGAUUAUCUUAACGCGUAGGAGAUCAUUGUUAGAAUUUGAAAACAAUUGAAACUUCAUUUUAAACACAAACUUAAUCAAUUGAUUUAUAUUUAAAUGGAAAGAAAGUAGCGGUCAAUUUUACCUAUCUUUUGUUUAGUGUAGCUCCAUUUCUAUCUUUGAUUAAAAGCUUGAAUUUUGACUUUUCUGGACAUUCUAGUGAACUUUGCCAAUAAAAGUUCAAAUUCUGAAACAAAAAAGUGAGUGGCGAACCUGAAAAAGUUCAAAUGACUUUGCCAAUAAAAGUUUUGAAGCAAUUCAUUUUUAGGAACAAAAAUCUGAAAGAGAACACAUGAAAGGGAAACCAACUUUAAAUUUCAUACUAUUUGGCAAAAAAGUGAGUGGCGAACCUGAAAAAGUUCAAAUGACUUUGCCAAUAAAAGUUUUGAAGCAAUUCAUUUUUAGGAACAAAAAUCUGAAAGAGAACACAUGAAAGGGAAACCAACUUUAAAUUUCAUACUAUUUGGCCCACACCUAACCCAUUCAAAAUGCACUGAAGAAACAAAGGUCAGGACUAUAGAACACGACAUGAACUUUUUCAAGUAUAUACGACAUGAACUUUUUCAAGUAUAUAGAAGUUUCGGUAGAUGUCUACUCAGCAGAACACAGAAGUAUGCAUAAUAAGAGAAAUUCCUUAUGCAAUUAGAAACAAUUUCAAAUGAGAAGCUCACUCUGGAGACUGAAAGUUGACCCCUUAACGUGCUCAAGUUCUCCACCAUUUUAACUUUUUCUUUCUCCACGCAUUUAAAUUCUUUCUCAACUUUUAAGAAGCCAUUGUGCAGUUUACUAUUGUAUUGUUGCAAGCUUGCCCUGCUCAGGAAAACACGGAAGUAAGAUUCAUAGAUACAUAAUAAGAGAAAUUCCUUAUGUAAUUAGCAACAAUUCCCCUUAACAUGCUCAGGUUCUCCACCAUAUUAACUUUGUGCUCCUCCAUGCACAAAUUCUUCAUCAACUGUUAAGAAGUCAUUGUGCAAUUUACUACUGUAAUGUUGCAAGCUUGCAAUGUAUUCUUGCGAUCGUUUGCACAUAUCAUUCACUGAAGUUAUUUGCAGAGUUCUGAAAAGAAAAUUUUUCAAAUUAAAACAUUUGUAAGGGAAAUCCAUACCUGUUGGCACGGAAGCAAAAGAAGGAAGGAAUGCAUAUUCUACUUUACCUUCUAAGUAACACUUGAAAGCUCUCUUUGAACUCUCAUGUGCCCUGCAGCCUGAUACACAUAUUAAAACAUUUAAUAAUGUAGACAACUUAACCAAGCUCAGCCACAUUGAAUAUCAAACCCACCUACAAACAAAAUGCUUCUGGAUCUCUUCAGCUGUUUCAGCUGGUUUCUUCACUCCUAUAACAUAAGGCCAAAAUACCCACAUCAAUACUACCUAAGCUCUGUAAUUCCUAUGGAAAACUUGUAUAUAACCAGCCUACUCUUUUCAAAAGGAAUUCGGUGUAUAAAAAAAAUGAGAAAUUCUAAAACUACGCAGCAGAAAUAAAGAAAAAACAAAAACUUACUAUGUCUUAUGACUCUAAUUCCAAUUGCCCUUCAAGCUCUCUAACUUUUGAACCACCAUGGUCAUACUGAUGAAUUCAUAACCAUGAAACCAAAAUCAUUACGUUGACAAAUAAACAUAACCAAAAACAAAAACAACUAAAUUUUUCAAAUGGGUAUCCCAAAAAUUCCCAGCCAAGUUAUCGAAAACUGAGCGACCUGUGCUGAGAGGGUGAUUGCCUUGGUCUGAAGCGUCUGCAGCUUCCUCUCCUUCUACCUCGCAGCUGAUUGCCUAUUAGCUAAAUCCUACAAAACCAAAAAAUUGAAAAACCACAAUUUCUCAUUCAAUCAUAUAAUAUCCACAAAAAUAACCCAAAAAUUCAACAUAAACACACAUAAAUAAAAAGGACGAUGAGGAGGAGGAUCAUAUGGAGAGUUUUCUGAGGGCUAAAAAGGACUUGGUGCUCACGCUGGCAUCGUAUGCUUUACACGCCGGAUAUGACUCCGAUGAGGAGGUAUAUGCGGCCGCCAAGGCCGUCGAUGCCGGGUUGUUGGAGUACGAUUCAGAUGAUAAUCCCAUUGUUCUGGACAAGAGGAAGAUCGAGCCGAUUCCAGCUCUCGAUCACAGUUCAAUCGACUACGAGCCGUUUAAUAAGGAUUUUUACGAGGAGAAAGAGUCGAUUUCAGGUAAAUUCCAACCGAACUGAGAAUUUUUUUUCUUUUUCAUUCACAUUUUUCAUUCUUGUGAAUUUAGUCGAAAUGCGUAGCAAAGUAUUCAAAGGGUCUAUUCAAUUGGAAUUUUGAAAGGGUUUUAAUUCUUUUAAUGGAUUUAGGGGUAUUCAAUCAAGAUUUUAAAUAAUUAUUUGAAAUUCAAGAUGUAUUCAAUUAGAAUUUUAAGAUAGUUUAUUAAAAUCCUUAGAAAUUCGGAUGUAUUCAAUUAGGAUUUUAAAGAAGUUUAUAACAUUUCAGGUGUAUUCAAUUAGAAAUUGAUUUAAAAGAAUUUGAGAAAGAUGAGGAAUUAGAGGGAAUUGGAGAGAUUUUAUAGUGUAUUUUAAGCAUCCACAAAUCUCACAUCUUCCCAUGAGAUUUCGAGGGAAUUGAAUCAAAAUUUUAUGUGGAAUCUCUACAAAUCAAUUAAACUUCAUAAAAAUCCAUAGAUUUAUAAAUCUAUGAAAGUCUCUCAAAUUCUCGAUUGAAUAGACCUCCUAAAUUUGAGUGAGAGAGAAUCUAGACCGGCAGAAGUUCUCAAGGAGACAUUUGAAAUGGAAGGCUAGAGUUAACUGGUGUUUUGUUUUCCUUGUUUAGGGAUGGGUGAAGAUGAUGUUUUUUAGUACAAGAAGAGCUUGGCCAUCCGUACGUCGGGUUUUGAUGUACCGAGGCCAGUUAAGACAUUUGAAGAUUGUGGAUUUUCUUCACAACUCAUGGCUGCCAUAAAAAAACAAGACUACCAAAAGCCGACACCAAUACAAUGCGCAGCUCUACCCAUAGUUCUUUCCGGGAGAGAUAUAAUUGGUAUUGCGAAAACUGGUUCUGGAAAGACUGCCGCUUUUGUCCUUCCAAUGAUUGUCCACAUUAUGGAUCAGCCAGAACUUCAAAAAGAAGAAGGUCCCAUUGGAGUGAUAUGCGCUCCUACUAGAGAGCUGGCGCACCAAAUAUACUUAGAGUCCAAAAAAUUUGCGAAAUCACAUGGGAUACGUGUCUCUGCUGUAUGGUGGAAUGUCUAAGCUUGAUCAGUUCAAAGAACUUAAGGCAGGAUGUGACAUAGUUGUUGCUACUCCUGGGAGAUUGAUAGACAUGCUUAAAAUGAAGGCACUGACAAUGCAAAGGGCAACUUACCUAGUACUUGAUGAGGCUGAUCGGAUGUUUGACCUAGGGUUUGAGCCUCAAAUUAGAUCUAUUGUUGGUCAGAUUCGGCCAGACCGACAGACAUUGCUCUUUUAUGCGACAAUGCCCCGUAAAGUUGAAAAAUUGGCUAGGGAGAUUCUCUCAGAUCCUAUAAGAGUUACAGUGGGUGAGGUGGGAAUGGCCAAUGAGGAUAUCACUCAGGUUGUUCAUGUAAUUCCUUCUGAUGAUGAAAAGCUGCCCUGGCUUCUUGAGAAGUUACCUGGAAUGAUUGAUGAGGGUGAUGUUUUAGUAUUUGCUUCAAAAAAAGUUGCAGUGGAUGAGAUCGAGUCACAGCUUGCUCAGAAAGGUUUUAAAGUCACAGCUCUGCAUGGUGACAAGGACCAGGCAUCUCGGAUGGAUAUUUUGCAAAAAUUUAAAUCUGGCAUUUACCAUGUUCUUGUUGCAACUGAUGUUGCUGCUCGUGGUCUUGACAUCAAGUCAAUUAAGUCAGUUGUGAACUUUGAUAUUGCAAAGGACAUGGACAUGCACGUCCAUCGAAUUGGUAGAACAGGUCGGGCUGGUGAUAAGGAUGGCACUGCGUACGCUUAUUGCACAGAAAGAGGCACGUUUUGCUGGUGAGUUGGUUAAUAGCUUGGUUGCUGCUGGUCAGAUUGUCUCCACGGAGCUCAUGGACCUUGCGAUGAAGGUAAUUUUGCAGUACUAUUAACAAUUUUUUUUGUGGUUUAUAUAGCGAGUUUAUACAUGCAUCCAACUACCUGCCUUUUUGUUUUAGAGAUGGUGGUUAUAACCAUAGUUUGUAAUCCUAUAAUGCAUUUAAGGCGAAUACAAGUUAUUAAUAUGUUCUCUGGUAAAACGUGCUCUUUUAAUGCAAUCUAGAUUCUGGACAAUUACACCUACAGGUGUUUGUCUCACAAAUAAACUACGUUACUUUCACUCUACUAUAUAGGUGCAUAGGUUGCUUCUGAUUUAGAGUGGGCUUUCGAGAGAGAUGGAUUUGAUGACCAUUUGGUCUUCAAGGCCUUAUUUUGGAAAGCUUCAGUUUGUCCUUGGAAUUACAGCGAUUUUGAGAUCGUUGACUUCAUAAUGUCAAGAUAGUCAAUUUCAGGAAAAGUGCUUAGUUUAGAGAGAGAGUAAUUAGACAGUCUUUAGUAGUCCCAUCUUUACUUCGUACCAUGCUUUGCAUAGAAAAGGGGUUUUUGGGGGUGUAUGUUGGCUUGUGUAUUGAAGCAUAGAGAUGAAUUGAAGAUGAAGCUCAGUCUGGGGACUUAUUAGCUUUUUAUGUAUUAUUAAGUUCUUGCUUGCAUUCUGGGCUACCAAUACAUCGGUUGAGGCCAACCAAUUUGCAUUAAAGAACAAAGAGAAAAAUUGCAUUUUAAGUACUAAAUCUUAAUUACCACAUGGACCCUUAGUAAAUUGUCACUUAUUUUCCCUUGUGCCAAUAUAUCUCAUAUACAUAAAUGCACAGCUUAUCAUGAUAGGUGGCUGCACCUGCAUUAGUUUUAGAAGUUUUACACUAUGAGAGCCACUCAUGCAUCAUUUCUUCAGUCUUGCGACUUUUAAUUCUUGCUUGCUGCUUGUAGCUUUGUAUUUCACGUCCCUCAUAAAUACACUGGUUUCCAUCUCCUACAUGGAUGUACAUCUUUAUAGUUAUUUUGGGUGCACCUCGUCUGUGGAACUUUUGUUGCUUUCCCUUACUAUGUUUCUUGUUUGAUAGCUUUAGAUGUUAGCAUGAGAUGUCAGAUUUCAGAUCUUACAUUCUCUAUUUUAAUGGGAUUUACCUUGUUUAUUAUCAGGAUGGUAGAUUCAGGUCAAAACGCGAUUCAAGAAAAGGAGGUAUAAACUUUAAUCAUACUAAAAUUUCAAUUUUCUUAAGAUUCUUUUGCAGUUUCAUAUUAAAUUAGCCUUUUUCUGUAAUUUCAAAUGAUGAUAUUUAUGGAUUCUGCAGGUGGAAAGAAAGGUAGAGGAAGGGGCGGCGGUGGUCGAGGUGUGCGUGAGGUGGAUUUUGGUCUGGGUAUUGGAUAUAAUACGGAGUCCAAUAGUUCUUCAUCGAAUACUGUUCCUAGUCGAUCUGCCGCAGAAACUCCUCAGAGGACAGGAAUGAUGUCUCAGUUCAAGACUAAAUUUGUUGCCGCUUCAUCUAACUCUCCAAGUCAAGGUUCAGGUAACAACUCUAGUGUGCCCAACAGACCGGCAUUACGAGGAUUUGUAUCCGAUGGUUCAAUCGGUGGGGAUGUAUAUAGAACUCAGACAGCCAGUACAAUUACUCCUGGUCCUCCUACAUCAGUGGUAAAUAAAACUGCUGCUCGGAACACCGGAGCAAAUACAAGUCAGAAGGCCUCCGAAAGGUUAAUAAAAUUGAUGCUCGGUUAGAAUUUUCAAUGUCUUUACGUAUUUGAUUGGUGCUGAUCAGUUUCAUUUGUGUCUUUUGCAGUUCUAGAGACAAACCUAGAGAAAGGCGGCGGCGCUCCGGUUGGGACUGUUGACCGUCCAGUUGAACUCCACCACUCUCACAUCGUGAAUGACGAGUUUUGUAUCUUUUGUAGAUUAAGGCCUGAUAUGCCUGUAUUAUUGUUGAACUUGGUCACUUUCUUUGUCGCUGUGUUUUAAGUUAAAAGAAAUAUAAGAGUUUGUAACUUGCUGCACAAAUAGUAGAUGGCCUAAAAGAUAGUCGGUUUAAAUCAUUAAAUACAUUAUAAAGCGGGCCUCACAAAAAAGUGUCAAAAGUUGUGUUAAAAAAUGUGGUGUUUCACAUCUCUGCUCCAUAUGUUAUUUUUAUUGAUCACUUCGAAUUACUUCAUAAUUCAACAAUUGGUACUGUUCCACUUCUCUUCCUCUCUCCCUUGGUAUACAUAAUAUCAUUUGUUCAAAAAAAAAAAAAAACAAUUGGUACUGUUAAUAUAAUACAAUAUGGCUUUGUUCGAUGUCAAGGAUUGGAUUGAUUUGAUUGGCUUAGUGAUAGGAAUUAUAACGCACCACAAAGUAGCACACAAUAAUCCUAUUGAUUUUCCUUAUUAUCACUAAAUUUGUCGAUUGUAGCAUAUGAAAAUAAGGGUCUUUUCCGCAGAAGAUUGUUUUAGCCAACUACUUAAAAUGUCACAAAAACGGGGUGGCUAUCUCCAUUGACCAGCCACUGAAAAUAAUUAUUAAACUGACUUAUACUCAUCCAAAUGCAACGAAAUUUUGUACAUAUAAACUAGACACACCGAGCUAUGUUCACACAAAUUUUUGGGAUUUUUGGAUUUGAUUAGCUAUUUAAAUUAAAUCGCACAAAACAGAACAACACAAAUUUUAAAUAAUACCAAGAAAUUUUAAUUCACAAAUUAAGAAAACGAGUUAGGGGAAAUGCUAUCCACCACCAAAUAAUCAUGCAAGCAUGUUAUGUUUCAUUAAAAUUCCUUUUAUUUCUGGAUGAAGAUGCUCAAGUUGGCUCAAUGUUAGAACUCAAUCUAUUACUCUUUCUUACGUAGUAUGUUAAGAGAAUGGCGUUUUCAACUUAACUUAGUCCCUAGCAUGCAAUCUAGAAUGGCGUAUUCAUAGAUUUAACAAGUAGAAAUCAUUAAGAAUAAAAAGAGUUUGAGUCAUCACAAGGCAUCGUAAGUACUGGUGUUGUCUUACUUAUCCUAGAAAUCGUUUCACAUGUUAACCACAAUUAACAAGUGCUACUCUAGAACAUAUGUAGGUCCUCAUUCAACAAGGGCAGGCACACAUAUAUUCAUAGCAUUAAAAUCCUAGAUAUGCUCACUAUGUAUGCAUCCAUAGAAACACAUAAAGAAUUUAUCAAUGACAUAAGUAGUGAAACAAUUUUCAUCCUUUCAUAAAAGUCAUUCAAACAAAAUAUCACAACAAACUUACAAUCAUAUUCGGGGCUUCAAAACAGCCCCUAACUACUAAAAAUUAGUUACACAUCAUUAUUUUCAAAUUAAACCAAAAGUUAAACAUGAGUUUGAGACAAUAGAACCGAAAUAGAAGAGUGCAGAGGUUUCCUCUUUCCCUUGCCAAGCUUGCAGUGCAGCUUAAGCUCUCUUUUUCUAUUGACAGCUAGGACAGUAUGGGAGAGAUAAUAUUGACAGCUAGGACAGUAUGGGAGAGAGGAAAUAUGACAGUAUGGAGAGAGGGAAUAUUGCUCGUGAAAAGGAAUGUUGUAUAUUCCUUGACAGAUAGACAAUGCUGUAUGGGAGAAAGGAAUGCUGCUUAUUUUUUCUCUAGUUGCUGCAUCAUGACAGCAAGCACAACACCUGUAUUGCUUUUCUUUAUUGCAUGCGUGUAUGUAAAAUGCAUAUAAACAAUGCUGCCGUUGCAGCAGAAUGAAUAAGAAAGAAACAACAAAGUUGAAACCAAAACAUCAAUAUGGUAUCAGAGCAGGAACCAUAGGGUCCUGCCUCUGUUGAUUAUCCUUCUAGCUUGUUCUUCUUCCUCUGUUCAUCAUUUGUUGUGAUGGCAGAAGAUAUCUCAUUUAGUUAUGAGGCUACAAGUCCCUCAACUCUAACACCAGCCAACAUGAUACACGGGGAGAGCAACCCACGACUGUGCUCUGUGUUGUUGAAUGAGUUCAACUACUUGCCGUGGUCACGAGCUAUAUCUCUUGCCCUAGGAGGAAGAUCGAAACUAGGGUACGUAAAUGGAACCAUCAAGCCUCAAGAGUCUUCCUCAGCUACCUUUGAUGCAUGACACUCAAAUGACCAGCUUGUUAUGUCCUGGAUACUUAACUCGAUGGAGCCCAAGUUGUCCGGGAUCUUCAGCUACUCAGAUUCUUCACACAUCUUAUGGGAAUCGAUCAAGGAAAUGUACGGCAGUCAACACAAUGCUGCUCGUGUGUUUGAACUGAAGAAAAGCCUCGCUGGGCUUAAGCAAGGUGAUCAAACUUUCAUUCAGCAUCUUGGAAGCAUGAAAUCUAUGUGGAAUGAACUUGAUCUAUACCGUCCACACACCACUGAAUCCGCUGUACUCUUGAAAAGGGCUGAUGAAGAUAAAGUGUUCCAACUAUUGGCAAGUUUGGGAGUUGAGUAUGAAGACUUGCGUAGCCACUUACUAAUGAAUCCUAAGCUACCAUCUUUCGUCAACGUGUGUCAUGCAGUCCAAAGAGAAGAAACUCGAAGGAAAGUAAUGCAUGUUGAGCCCCGGUCUAGCCCAAAAGCUAGGGUUUUCACUAGUAACCACAACUUCACUAGUGAAAGGCCUUUUAAUGGAAGGAAAGCUGACUGGAAAUGCACAUACUGCAACACCAAGGGGCACGUACGGGAAAAAUGCUGGAUUUUACAUCCUGAGUUAAAACCUAAGUUUAACAAGGAAGGAAAAAUGAUUAGGGAUGGGAAAGGGUUUGCGCCUAAAGCCUUCCAAUCUCUGAGUUGUCCAUCUAAUGAGAUGUCAAACUUCACCUCAAACCCUAUCUCCCUGAUCAAUGAGUUUGCCGCCUUUCUCCAAAAGAAGAGUGAUAUCGCUGAGGGUAACAAUGUCACCACGGAAAAUCCCACAGAAAUGCUUGGAAAAUUUGCUGGUUUUUUGGCAAAUUCAAACACCACUAAAUUCGGCAAUAUCCCAGGUAUCAUUUGUGCACUUUCCACGGCUCUCAAUGUAUAUCUCACACACGAUUUUUAGAUUAUAGACUCAGGUGCCACUGACCAUAUAACCAACAAACAAGCUUGUCUACAUGAGUUUCAAAAAUUACCUAAUCAUACUCAUGUGUCUGUAGCGAAUGGGAAAGGGGAACCAGUUCUAGGAAAAGGAAAAAUUAAAUUGAUGGGGAGUGAUGUAGAGUCUACGGCACUAUAUGUACCCUCAUUUCCAUUUCAACUUCUGUCCAUAGGAAAAAUCACACAUACUUUGAACUGUCUUGCUAUUUUUUCUCCUCACACAGUUGUAUUUCAGGAUCGAGUCACUCAGAAGAAGAUUGGUGAGGGUUUUUUCUUAAAUGGUCUGUACUACCUCUCAAAGGAGUUCAAUCAAGUUAAGGAACCCAUUGUCAACCUAAGCCAUGUCCAGAAGCAUCAACUUUGGCACCAACGCCUAGCUCAUCCCUCCGAACCAGUAAUGUCUAAAUUAUUUUCCAAAUUAUUGUACCAACACACAUGAGUGUGAGAUCUGUCAAAUGUCAAAAGCCACUAGGCUACCUUUUGUACCCUCUAAAUCUAGAACUAGUAAACCCCUUGAAGUUGUACACUCAGAUAUUUGGGGACCUUCCCGUGUUGAGUCAUUUGAUAGGUACAAGUAUUUUGUUACAUUCAUAGAUGACUACUCUAGGGUUACUUGGUUAUAUCUCUUAAAGUCUAAAAGUGAAUUUUUUUUACAGCUUUUCAAGACUUUCAUAAGCUAAUAACCAACCACUUCUCCUCAAAAAUAUGUACCUUACGGUCAGAUAAUGGCACCGAGUAUACCUCCAAUAAUCUGUCAAACUACUUAAGCAGUCAUGGUAUCUUGCAUCAAACUAGUUGUGUAGGUACACCACAACAAAAUGGUGUGGCCGAACGCAAGAAUAAGGAUUUAUUGGAGAAAACUAGGUCUCUUAUGUUUCAGAUGCAAGUUCCCAAGAGAUUCUGGUCCCAAGCACUCCUUACUGCAGCCUAUAUCAUUAACAGACUUCCCACUCGUGUCCUGAAUUCCAAAUCACCUUUUGAAGUUAUGAAGGGAAGAACUGCUGAUUUAACUCAUUUCAGGAUUUUUGGGUGCACGUGUUAUGUUCACGUUCAAGCAAAUCAUCGUGAUAAACUCGAACCUCGAGUUAUCAAGUGUGUGUUUAUGGGGUACUCGAGUUCUCAAAAGGGAUACAAAUGUUAUAACCCACACACUGGGAAGCUGGUUGUCUCUAGGGAUGUACGGUUUGAUGAACACGUUCAUUUCUUCAACAAUCACUCCCCAAAUAGUUCUCAGGGGGAGAGUCUAAUGGAUAUUUUUCCACUACCAACUCUCGCUGAAAUCCAUACAGACACCCCCCCAGUGAUCCUCCAGUUGAUGAGAUGGUCAGUGAAGAUAUACCUCGUGCCCCAGCACCAGUUGUUGCCACACAACCAAUUGUAGCAACACAAAAAAGGAAUCCAACUCGCGAUCGCAACCCUCAUCGACGGCUACAAGAGUACAUCACUUACAGUGCAAGGCAUCCCAUUUCUGAAGCUCUCACUUAUCACAAACUGUCAGCAUCUCAUGCAUCAUUCCUAAGUCAGUUGGCAAACAAUGUUGAGCCUAAAAACUUUCAAGAAGCAGUAUGUAUACCUGUGUGGAGAGAUGCCAUGCAUGAUAAGCUCAAAGCACUGAACGAAAAUCAAACCUGGAGUGUAGUAGAUCUUCCCAAAGGGAAGAAAGCCGUAGGGAGUAGAUGGAUUUACAAGACCAAAUUCAAUUCUAAUGGUACCAUUGAAAGACACAAGGCCCGGUUGGUUGCACGGGGUUUCACUCAAACUUACGGCAUUGACUACAAGGAGACCUUUGCUCCCGUUGCCAAAAUGAACACAGUGAGGGUGUUGUUAUCAGUAGCAGUCAACCACGACUGGCCCUUGUUUCAAAUGGAUGUUAAAAACGCAUUUCUUCACGGUGAGCUUCAAGAAGAGGUGUACAUGAAGCUACCUCCAGGACACCCUCAAGAAAAAGAACCUACCAAAGUCUGCAAGCUUCAUAAAGCUAUAUAUGGACUUAAACAGUCUCCUCGAGCUUGGUAUGCCAAACUAAGCUCUGUUCUUGAAGUGGCAGGGUUCAAAAGGAGUCAUGAUGACUCAUCUCUCUUUGUUCGAAGUGGUGUCCAAGGGAAGCUUGUAGUUCUUAUAUGUUGACGACCUUAUCAUCACGGGGGACAACAUGGAUGAACUCGAGGCUCUUAAAAGGUCGCUUCACCAACAGUUUGCCAUUAAAGAUUUGGGAUCCUUGAAAUAUUUUCUGGGUAUUGAGAUGGCUACCUCAUCCAAGGGUUUAUUCUUAAAUCAAAGGAAGUAUGUUCUUGACCUUCUUGAUGAAGCACAUAUGGUCAACUGCAAACCUGCCCGCACCCCACUUGCUAGCAAACUUCAACUGGAUGCUCCAGGUACCCUUCUUUCAAAUCCUAAUGUGUAUCAACGCAUGGUUGGGAAACUCAUUUACCUCACUAUCACACGGCCUGAUAUUGCUUACUCCGUAAGCCUUAUCAGUCAGUUUAUGCAUUCUCCUACAUUGGUUCAUUGGGAAAUUGUCAAGAGAAUACUUCGAUACCUCAAGGGCUCGAUCGGCAGAGGCAUACUCAUGCAGAAAAAUGAGUCUAAUCACAUUCUGGCCUAUACCGAUGCGGAUUGGGCUGGUAAUUCCCUUGAUCGAAAAUCCACCACAGGUUUUUGUACCUUUGUAGGUGGAAACCUUGUCACCUGGAAAAGUAAAAAACAAACAGUGGUUGCACGGUCCAGUGCUGAAGCUGAAUAUCGGGCCAUGGUAGCAACAGCUUCUGAACUCAUCUGGUUGAAGAGUCUCCUUCUUGAUCUUGGCUUCACCAGUAAGGAACCCAUGUCCUUAUUCUGUGACAACCAGGCUGCCAUGCAUAUUGCAUCCAAUCCUGUAUUCCAUGAACGGACUAAACACAUUGAAGUUGACUGCCACUACAUCCGCACUCAAGUUCAAUCCAAAGUCAUCGAAACUGUGUACACUAGAAGUCAUGAUCAACUUGCGGACCUUUUCACGAAAGCUCUUGAUUUUACACAGUUUCAACGGUUAUUGUUCAAGCUUGGAUCAAUCAACCCCCUUAAUCCCGCUUGAGGGGGAGUAUUGACAGCUAGGACAGUAUGGGAGAGAGGGAAUAUGAUAUUGACAACUAGGACAGUAUGGGAGAGAGGAAAUAUGACAGUAUGGAGAGAGGGAAUAUUGCUCGUGAAAAGGAAUGUUGUAUAUUCCUUGACAGAUAGACAAUGCUGUAUGGGAGAAAGGAAUGCUGCUUAUUUUUUCUCUAGUUGCUGCAUCAUGACAGCAAGCACAACACCUGUAUUGCUUUUCUUUAUUGCAUGCGUGUAUGUAAAAUGCAUAUAAACAAUGCUGCCGUUGCAGCAGAAUGAAUAAGAAAGAAACAACAAAGUUGAAACCAAAACAUCAAUAUUUUCCUUCUGCUCUUCUUUUCCCUUCUGCUCUCUGCACUUCCUCUUCUUCUAUCCGUCUCUCCCUCUUUCCUCUUCUUUCGUUUUUGUUCUUCUCCUCUGCUCUGUCCGUUUCCUCUCUUCUUUAUAUUUUUUUCUUCUUUCUUCUUUUCUUCUUUCUGUCCUUUUCUUCUUUUCCUUUCUUUGUUUUGUUUUCUUUCUUUUCUUAUGUAACCCCCCCUUUUCUUCUACAAACAUCAUUAUGAAUCAUGAUGAUGUUUCAAACAUCAUCAUGACUCAUCAUUAUCUUUUUUUUUAAUUUAAUUUAAAAGCUGAUCUACACAGAGACGAAUUUAUUACAUAAAAUUUCACUUGUUCUAUUUUUAUUUUCUUUGCUAGACAAAUCCUAUAAUACGCAAAAACAAAGUAAUAGCUCAAAAAUAUAAGGAACUAACUAAUAAAAGACAAAUGAAAUUGAUGUAAAAUAUAUAUAAAUAUGAACUUAUCACUUAGCUUGAAAAAUCACAAAAUUCAGUGAAUAAAAAUACAGAUUGUUUAUUUUGUCCAAAUGAAGAUGGAAGAGAAAAAGAAACAGACUAGUAUAACAAAUAUUUACGGACCAUGCAUCGAUUAUUAAUUACACCUAUACGUCAAUUGAUAAUUAUAAUUUUUGUUUUUAAAUGUUAUUAUCUCUUAAAUAAAUAACCAUGUUGUUUUUAUCUCCUCAUCCUAUGUUACGUGUCGAAUUCGUGUGAAGUCUGGCGGGACAAGAGAUGACUUUGAUCACCAUGAGCUCCUUUCCAUAGCCAUUUUUCUUUACCUUGAGCCCCUUACACAAAGUCCGUUCUUAAGAUCUGGAGUUUUCUCUCAAUGGCUGCUAAAAGUUCCCGAGAUUCUUCUUCGUCCUCUUACCGGUGUUCCGCCUUCUUGAGUUUCAGAGGCAAGGACACGCGCAAGGGGUUUACUGAUCACCUCUAUAGAGCCUUGGAGCUAGCAGGAAUCCACACGUUUAGAGACGAUGAUGAAAUCAAGAGAGGGGAGAAUAUUGAGUCGGAGUUAGAGAAGGCGAUACAGGAGUCACAAGUAUCCAUAAUUGUCUUCUCCAAGGACUACGCUUCCUCAAGGUGGUGUUUGAACGAACUUCUGAAGAUCGUCGAACGUAGAAAUACUGAUCGUAGACAUUUGGUUCUGCCAGUUUUCUAUGAUGUGGAUCCAUCCGAUGUCAGGAAGCAGAGUGGUUCUUUUGCUGAAGCAUUUGCCAGACAUGAGGAGCGAUUCAGUACGGAGAUGGACAAGGUGGAGCUGUGGAGAAGAGCUCUUGGAGAUGUUGCAUCUUUGGGAGGCAUGGUUUUAGGAGAUCGGUAAUUUCUUUUCUCAAUAUGUUCUUGAGCUUAUUGAAAGUGUUUUAAAUUAAGUAAAAUUGCAGAUAUGGCAGUGAAGCUUGAAGUUGUUCAAUUUUGGUUUAUAUGCUAUAAUAUAUACUGCGAUUUUGGUUUAUAUGUUACUAUCGAUUUUGGUUUAUAUGUUCUCACGCUUAUUUCUGCGUCGUAUAUUUCGAUUCAAAUGAAUUACAGGUAUGAGGGGCAGUUCAUCGAAGAUAUUGUUGAAGAGAUUAGAAAUAAAGUGGGUCACGCAGCUUUAGACGUCGCUCCCUUUGCAGUUGGAAUGGAUAAUCGUGUGAGACGCCUAAACAUGUGGUUACAAGAUGGAUCAAAUGAUGUUGGUUUAGCUGUCAUCUGUGGGAUGGGUGGAAUUGGCAAGAGCACCAUUGCGAAAGCUGCUUAUAAUCAAAACUUUGAUAGAUUUGAAGGUAGCAGCUUUCUUGCAGAUAUUCGAGAAUCUUCAGAACAACCUAAUGGUUUUGCUUGCUUGCAAAGAAAACUUCUUUCAGAUAUCCAAAAGGGGAACACAAAGAAAGUAUACAAUGUGGCUGAAGGAAUAAGCAGGAUCAAACGAGCUGUAGGCUACAAAAAAGUUCUUAUUGUUCUCGAUGAUGUGAACAGCCGGGAUCAACUCAAUGCAAUUCUUGGAAUGCGAGAAUGGCUUCAUCAAGGAAGUAAAAUUAUCAUAACAACUCGACAUGAACAUUUGUUAAAUGCUCAUGAAGUUUGUGAAAAGUUUAUGGUUCGAGAACUGGAUGAGUAUGAAUCACUUGAGCUUUUCAGUUGGCAUGCCUUCAGACAAUCCCAUCCAGUAGAAGGUUACAUGGAGCUUUCAAGACAUGUGGUGCGGCACUGUGGAGGGCUUCCAUUAGCUCUUCAAGUUGUGGGAUCUUCUCUAUCUGGAAAAAGUGAAGAAGUAUGGCAAAGUGCAUUGCAGAAGUUAGACGUGAUCCCCAAUGACAAAAUUCAAAAAGUUCUGAGGAUAAGUUUUGAUUCUUUACCGGAUGAUCAUGACAAAAAUUUAUUCCUUCACAUAGCCAGCUUCUUCACAGGAAAGACGAUGGAUUAUACAAUUACAAUACUGGACAACUUAGAGUUUUGCACAAGGAUUGGGAUUGAAAAUCUAGUUGACAGAUGCCUAGUGAAAAUUCAAGGGUCGAAGUUGGCCAUGCAUCAGUUGGUGAGAAACAUGGCAAUGACAAUUAUUCGCGAAGAAUCACCUCAUGACCCUGGAAAACGUAGUAGAGUGUUGCAGAAUGAUGCCUCUAAUAUUUUGAGAAAAUUAAGUGUAAGAACUAUGUUUUUCAUGCGUAUGUUUUUAGUUAUGAUUUGCAUGUGUAGUACUAGUUAUAUACUUACCCAAAUGCUCUGAUUUUUUUGCAGGGCACGGAAAAUAUUAAGGGCCUCAUGCUCAACCUUGCUAGCAAAAGAACAUUUGUUGGAAGUGAUAACAAACGAUGCCAUGUUGAAGAUUAUGAUGGAAAUUGUUCAAGACGACGUGGGCUUGGUUUCUUCUCUUGGAAGCCAAUUAGCUUUUCCUCCACAAACUCAGCUUCUGCAUCAAAUGAGAUAGAUUUCAAAUCUGAGGCGUUUAGAAGGAUGCACAAUCUUGAAAUUCUCAUUCUCAACAAUGUCAACAUCAGGGGAAGCUAUGAAGAAUUUUCAAAAAAUUUAGUAUGUUUAUCUUGGCGAGGAUUCCACUUAAAAUCAAUACCAAAAAAUUUUUGUUUGGAAAACCUGGUUGUUCUAGACAUGCGAAAUAGUAGCCUACAACAUGUUUGGAAUGGGACCAGGGUAUGUAACUCUCUCUCUCUCUCUCUCUCUCUCUCUCUCUCUCUCACACACAAAAAUGAAUAGGGGCCAUUAUAUCUUCUUAGAAGCUAAUUAACUUGUAUUAUUAUUGAAACAGGUUAUUCCAAGGCUGAAGAUUCUUAAUUUCAGUUAUUCGCAUGGCCUUAGGACAAUCCCCGACUUCUCAGGACUCUAUAACCUUGAGAGGUUGAUUCUUAAACAUUGCAUAAAUUUGGUUGAGGUUCAUGAGUCCAUCGGACACCUAGAAAAACUUCUUGUUUUGAAUCUAAAAGGCUGCAAAAAUCUCAUGAAGCUUCCAAUAUUGAGAUCUAUUCAGGUUCUUAUUCU
rnacentral:lncRNA from 1 species